rnacentral:lncRNA from 1 species
AUAUAUAUAUAUAUAUAUAUAUAUGAAGUUGUUUAUAAGUAGUAGAUAUAUAUCAUCCCCCUUCUAUUGAGGAAUCCCUAUUUUUGACCACUUUCUAGGGAUAGGGCAUUACACCACUUCCCAAUUGAAUUUUUACAUCUUCACCGUUCAUAUCUUAGGUCUAUAUGAGUAGAUCACCUCUACAAAAUUUCAUAUGAUUUAGUGAUCGUUAAGAUUUUCAAAAGUUUGAUUUAGUUUUAAUGAUUUUGAACGGUCCAGCUUAUGUCAAACUAAAACCGUUGAAGGUCAUUAAAACUAAAUUGAAUUUUUGAAAGCCUUAACGAUCAUCAAAUCAUAUGAAAUUUNNNNNNNNNNNNNNNNNNNNNNNNNNNNNNNNNNNNNNNNNNNNNNNNNNNNNNNNNNNNNNNNNNNNNNNNNNNNNNNNNNNNNNNNNNNNNNNNNNNNNNNNNNNNNNNNNNNNNNNNNNNNNNNNNNNNNNNNNNNNNNNNNNNNNNNNNNNNNNNNNNNNNNNNNNNNNNNNNNNNNNNNNNNNNNNNNNNNNNNNNNNNNNNNNNNNNNNNNNNNNNNNNNNNNNNNNNNGAAGCCAUGUCCCGGAUCGACACUUCGGAUCCGACGGUUGGGGCGAGGAUCAUGGGCACAGCCUUCCCACCGCGAGCAAACAACUUCUACUGCCGGGGUCUAGGAAAGAAGGGCGAGGGGGUCCUGAAGACCACUCCAGGAUUUCAACGAAAGGCAGCCUCGACCAGCAGCAGGACCACGACCACCAGGACGACUCAGCUGCUACAGUCGGAACUUCAGAGACUACGGGAACAGCAAGCUGCUCAUGUUACCUAUAAUGCAGCGCAGGCAACCUAUAAUGCCGCGUAGGCAGCCUAUAAUGCCGAGGUACAUGCCAUCCAUCAGGUCCAGCAGCGGCAGAUGUUCCAGUACAUGCAGGACUUUACAGCUGCCCAGCUCCAGGGACUUCUGGCUCCGCCCAUACCGCUACCCCAGCCGCCGCAAGCUCCGCAGCAGCCCCCAGAACCGGAUAUUAAUUUAGACGAUCUAGAUUUGGUGUAGUUGAUGAAUUAUAUACUUUUAUGUGCUUGUUGUUGGUUAUAUGGAAUUGUUUUUGUGUUUUUUGCAGCUUACUUGGAAUGGUAAUUUAAAAAUUUCGGGUUUUUUUUAAUACUGGAAUGGACUUAUAGCCGACGAAAUAAACCAUAAUUCGUCGGCUAUAGUAUUUUUAAUUAUUUUUUAAUAGGGUUUAGCCGACGAAUAAUGGAAUGUUUCGUCGGCUAAACCCUUAAAAGCCGACGAAAUACGGUCUAUUUCGUCGGCUUUAGUUAUUUUUUAUUUUUUUAUUACAUACUAUAGCCGACGAAUAUAUUAAGCGUAUCGUCGGCUAAAGCUGAGAGAAUAGCCGACGAGUUGUUUCGUCGGCUAUAGAUAAGAAACUAGCCGACGAGUUGUUUCGUCGGCUAAAGUUUAGAGACUAGCCGACGAAAAAACUCGUCAUCGGCUAAAGUCUGUAAGACUCGUCGGCUAAAGUCUGAGAGACUAGCCGACGACGUCUUCUGUCGUCGGCUAGCUAUGGGACAAUAGCCGACGACGGGCUAUAGUUUCGUCGGCUAAAGUCAUUGCCGACGAGCCUUUCCCGACGAAACUAUAGCCGACGAAGUCUCGUUGGCUAAGAUCUCAGCCGACGAAUUAAGCUAACAGGCCGAUAAAGAAUUUUCGUCGGCUAAAGUGCUUGUCCCGGUAGUGAAGCGAAGGGAGCUCCUCUCGCAUAGUCAGAGAUUCACAGUCGCCGGGUCAUAGUCGAAGGCUGCCGCUGACAAAAGUUUGUUCUUUUCGAAACCCUAGCAUAGGAAGCUAGAGAGCAAAGAUAUAUUUUUUUAGAAGGAAAUUACUUGAUAUUGCAAAUAAUAUAAAUUUGAACGAUAGGAUCCAAACUAGUUUGAAUGCUAGUAUUUUCCGAAAACAAUUCAAUGUACUGUAUCACUUGAACAAAAAAGAACAAUCCAGUGUAUUCUUUUGUCAAUAAUCUAAUUCUAUUUUUAUCUGUGGGCUGUGGCUAAGCAAAUAAUUACUCCCUUAGAAGAUAACAUGCUUUAUGCUCAGGCUUCACUGCAUUUAAACAGAUUCCAACCAUAGUCUUACAAGUAAGAAUCAGUUGUUCUAAGAGAGUAUUAUUGUUCGUCGACUAUCAGUUUCCUGAUACCAUUUUUUGUUUUGAUAUGAUUCAAUCUUUCAAAGUGAUUUUUGUAUGCAUUUUUGGUGCCUGAGCAGAUUGAAUUGAAAACUAGCUGAAACAAGUCUCACUCCAGUUGAUGUUUAAGCAACUAUUCACAUAUGCUAGUCUAGACAGGUUCAGGUAUCAAAAAUUAGUGGAAAGAGCGCUUGCAUUGCAUAGUGGAAUAGAAAAGAGAAUUAGACCGUUCCUUUUUGGCUUUGCUGUGGGUGAUUGGAAUUGAGCCAAUUGGCUUCAAGAAGAAUGGUAUAUUUCUCAGUGGUUAGUGAGUCUUAUUAUAGUGGUGAGUAGAGAAAUCCAGAAAGAGUGGUCAUGGAUAGUGACCAUGCCCGGACUUGAUAUGAGGCUGAGGAGUCAGCCGAUUCAAGGCGGGCCCAGAAAAAAAUUAACAAGUUUUCAUUAAUCAUCCUAUAAAUACUGUAAUCGAGCUCAAGUUUUGCCAAAUUAAAUUAAAAGAAAAUACUGACAUGAUGGGCCCAUACAAGUUCAACAAGUUAUAUAUAAUUAUAGUAUAUUUUAAAAUCUAUUGAAGUAAGAAACUUGUUUUUUUGAACAGAAAGAAAUUUGUUUUAUAAAUAUGAUUAUUAAAAUAUUAUCUAAAUAGGAUUACUAGAAUAUUUAGAUAUAAAAUUACUAAAACAUAGAGAGGUUUGGUAAUCUCUACAUAUAUUCGGAUAUUACAUGAAUAUAUUUUUGGAAAUUACAUGUUUGUUGUUUAUUAUUGUUAAUUAGCUAGUUCCUGAAAAACUUUUAUAAAGAAAAUGCAUUUAAUAAAAAAAAUGACACGAAAUGCACAUUAUGAUUUGAGGGCCCAACUUUUAGAGUUCGAUUCAGGCAUGAAAAUCUCAGGUCCGGGCCUGAUAGUGACAACUUGAUGAUACAUAUGAUAUUUAUAAGAAAUGCAUACCUAUGCUCUUAUUUCUUUUGUUUAAGCAUGUGGAAGCUUGUGGGACUACUGUUUUAAGAAGAAUUUGGUCUACUGUUUCUUUUUUCAGACUAAUACAACCAAAAUUGCUCUAUCAAAAAUGAAAGAACUCAGUAGGAUCUUUAUUUUUUGAUCGGAUUGAAGGUUAAUUAAUACAUUUUCUUCUAUGAGGAAAUGUAAUCGGUUCUAUAAUAUUUCCUAAAGAAAAAAAAACCCUAUUUUAAUCCUAUUAAAAAAAUCAUAUACAAGUAAAAAAUUUGUUUAUCGUAUUGGAAAAUGUAUCGCUUAUUAGUUUUUUUGUGGCAUAAAUGAGGUCAGAAAGUUCUUGUUCCAGAGCUUGUGGUAUAAAAGGAUUGAAUAUUUUUAUAUUUCGUGUCCUAUUUAGUUUAGAUCUUAUACUCUAGGAAAAUAAGAUUCAAGUUUGUACCCCUUAUUUGUAUAUACUCUUUCUAUAGUUAGUUACCGAUUAGUUUAGAUUACGUAAUCUACUGUUAUGAGUUGUAAAUGUGGAAUAGGCCUUAACACGCUCUACUAAUCAAAAUUUUCAGGAAUUUCUAGAUUCUGAGAACAAAAGGUUAGAGAGGUUCGGAGUAGUAUUUUUGCUUUCUGAAAUAGGAAAUCAUUUAAAAGCUUUUUGAUAAAUAGUAACAGCUACAGCUUUAAAAUGUUUCUUUUCUCCAAAAUUUAAAAUAAAUUGUACAAGAAAGAAGAUAGAGUUCAGAAAGUGUGAAUUGUACUACGCAUCUACGAGAUCGUAUAAAUGCUAAUUUUGUGUAGAGCAGAAGGGUGAAGUGCCGAAGUGCGAACUAUACAACUUAAACCAUAUUCUUCGUCUCCAAAAAUGCAAAGAGGAUUAUACCAUUGGAGACGCAAAGAGAAUUAAACCAUAUUGGUAACAUAGAAUUAAAUAUUAUCGUUGACUUUGACUUGGGUAUUCAGAUCCAACGGCCACUAUGAAAGCUGUGACAGAAUUCUCCGGUCAUUCUAGAAUCACCGCAUAAAAGGAAAUUUCCGAAAAACACCCCCAAGUCCCCAACAAACCCCAAAAGCCAGCGUUCUAUUCUCAUUCUCUCUCUCUCCCAAAUUCCCCUCUGAAAAUUCCGCAGAGAGAAAAAGCGAGAGAAAAGCCAUGAACACGAUGCACUACGCGGAGGUGAGCACCACCGCCGGCAAGCUCGAGGAGGUCGACAUCGAGUCCGGCGAACUCUUGUACCCCGGCAUCAGCAAAGGCGAGAAUCAGCUCCGAUGGGGUUUCAUUCGCAAGGUCUACGGCAUCUUAUCCGCUCAGCUUCUCCUCACCACCGCCAUCUCCUUCGUGACCGUCCUCUAUACUCCCGUCAACGACCUCCUCAAAGGCAGCCCUGGCCUUCUCUUGUUUUUCGCCUUCCUUCCUCUCGUCUGUAAGUACCCCUAAUUUCGUUUCCGAUUUGUGGUUUUAGCGAUUUUUUGUGUAAAUGUUGGUUCUGGUUGUGCGAGUUUGAGAUUAGAGGUUGUAGAUCAGGAAAGAAAUUCAGAUCUGAGUGUCUAUGUUUUACGAUUUGCGAUUUCAAGUGGUGUAUGUAAGCUUUGAUUGCGGUGAUUAGGUUAUAUUGUUUUAGACCGAUUGUAUUGGUUGCCUUGUAAAGAAUUCAAUUCUUGAAGGGAUUGAUACCUUGCUUGUUUGGUUCUGUAGGAUCAUAUUUUGUGGUUAGUGUUUAUCAUAUGCCUUGUAAAAUGCUUUGUUUUGAUGAAAUGUUUGCUAGUCGUGUUAUCAGUUGUAUUGGUUUGUUGUAUAAGAAUUCAAUUAUCAAAGGGAUUGAUACCUUGCUUGUUUAGGUCUAGGAUAAGAUUUAUGGUUACAGUAUAUUAUUCUGUGAAAGCAUGAUGGUUAUGUGCCUGGGAAAAUGCUUUGUUUAAAUACAGAACUCAAGAAUGGCUACUUUGGUAUAGAUUUAUGUUAUAACAGUGAUGUAAAGAACUGCAUGUGCUAGUUGUGUUAUCCAUUGGUUUCAUUGAUAGUUUUGCAUUAUCUUACUUUUGUGUUUGGAUUCUUUGCAGUGUUGUGGCCCCUUCAUGUGUACCAGCAAAGGCAUCCUCUGAACUUUAUCUUCCUUGGACUUUUCACUCUGAGUCUGAGUGUCACUGUUGGUGUAGCGGUUGCUAAUACUGAUGGUGAGUUUCAUUACUCUAUGUCGUGAUUGUAUUGGUGCCAUGUUACAAUUUGCUUUCAGUUAGGUUUUGUUUUGAGUUAACGUUGUAGGCUUUAUGCAGGUUUUUAUUUUUGGUAUAUGAGUUUAGUUUGUUAUAUUUGACAUAUUUGUCAUCUGAUUAUAUAUGUGCAUUGCUUGCUUGCAGGAGCGAUUGUGCUUGAAGCCUUGAUUCUAACCUCGGGUGUGGUUGCAUCCUUGACUGCUUACACCUUCUGGGCUUCAAAGAAGGGGAAGGACUUCAGCUUCCUUGGACCAGUCCUGUUCACUGGCCUCAUGGUUCUCCUCUUGACCAGCUUCAUGCAGGUCAGACUUCUUGCCAUGAAAUAGUCCUGUUUGUUAGAUUUUUUCAUUUGAACAUAUACCAUACUUUAAAUACAUUGAACUAUUUAUCUGACUUGGUGAUUCUCUGCUCUCAUGUAGAUGUUCUUCCCACUUGGUCCUACUUCUAAUGCUGUCAUUGGUGCUGCUGGUGCUAUUCUCUUCUCUGGCUAUAUAGUCUACGAUACUGAGAACCUCAUCAAGCGCUUUACGUAUGAUGAGUACAUCUGGGCCUCCAUCACUCUUUACCUUGAUAUUCUGAAUCUGUUCCUUACAAUCUUGCGGAUGCUGAGGCAGAGCGACUCUUAGUUUGCAUGCGGCGGACAUAAACUCUCUGCAGUUGUGGACAUAGUAUAUGUAGUCCAAGGCUAAAGUGGAUGUAGUAUAUUCUUUUCCACCUUUCUACUCUUAUUAGUUCUUUCGACCGAGUUUGCUGUGGGAUGUCAUGCAACUUCUAAGUACUGCAAUAUGACUUUGGCCAGACUCAAGUGUGCUUACAGCAAGUCAAUUAUGUGAAUUGUUUUCUAAUGUGGUUUUGUUCCUACAUAUUCGUUUAGGACUGUAAUCUUGAUCCUAUAUUGUUUAAGAAUCCAAAGUGAAAUAUUGGUCUUGGUGAGGGUGUGGAUAGUAGGAAAAUUACGCAGUAAUAUGCAUUUAUGGCAGUAAUAUGCAUUUAUGUCAGUCAUGGGCACCUAUAAUUUUGAAAAGUGACUAAUUUACUACCAUCUUGGUUAGUAAUCUAGUGCUCUCUCACUAGGUGAUCCAAUUCAGACAUCUGCAGUUGAUAUGUCUAACUCUACAAAGGUUUAGCAAUUAGCAUCAAACUUCUUUUUUAUAAGACAUCUUGGGCAGAUCACCACCUCCAUCUCGAAGCCUUCCAGCGACCCCAGACACCCAUAGUCCCAUACCAUGUGCGACCUCUGAUCACAAUGACCAUGCUAGACGUUUGUUCACAUCUCAUACACCAAAAGUUUGUCAAACUAUAAAUUUCAUUGUUCAGAACUUAGAGGCAAUUCUUAUUUGAAUACUAUCGAAAAUAGAACAACAAAGGUUAUCUAAAUCAAAUGUUUGAACACUUGUAGCAUUUGAGUUGUUUACUGAAAAAAAAAAUUAAAUUAAAUGUUUGAAUAAUUAGUACAAAUUUUUUCUCCAAAAGAGAAGAAGUAACUUAAGAACAUUGAAUAAUACAACAUCUUUCUUGUCUAAUCACUGAACCAUAUCGGGAAUAAACUGUUGUGCUCCAUUGCCGCCGGACCGCAACCAAGGACAAUACGGAACAAUGGCAGCAGAAAUUACUCAAAUUUGGAGGCACUGGUGAAUAGCCUAAACACUCAAGUUUUGUGUAAAUUAGAUCCUUGUUCCGUACAAGGCCUCGAGUACAACAAUAGAUCCUAAUAAUAAUGUCCGGUCUUUUUUGGGCGAGUGCUGGAACGCACACUGCNNNNNNNNNNNNNNNNNNNNNNNNNNNNNNNNNNNNNNNNNNNNNNNNNNNNNNNNNNNNNNNNNNNNNNNNNNNNNNNNNNNNNNNNNNNNNNNNNNNNNNNNNNNNNNNNNNNNNNNNNNNNNNNNNNNNNNNNNNNNNNNNNNNNNNNNNNNNNNNNNNNNNNNNNNNNNNNNNNNNNNNNNNCUCUCUCUCUCUCUCUCUCUCUCUCUCUCUCUCUCUCUCUCUCUCUCUCUCUCUCUCUCUCUCUCUCUCUCUCUCUCUCUCUCUCUCGCCACAGCGACCGCCAAAGAUCGACCACAACGUCCAUAUACUCGACGUCGACAACUGAAUCAGGCCGAUCUCGAUGCUCAACGACGACGACCCAACCCACUGCCUCCGUCCGUCGUCGCAUCCCAAAUUGAUCAGCAAAUCUGAUAUGGAAAUCUUUGUCGUCAAAGUCGAACCCAAGCCAAUUUGUCUCAGAUCUAUAGGAAAGCUCCUUUAAUUUUCUAUUCUAAAGUUUAUCAGAUCUGCUCCAAAUCUUGCAAUUUUGCUUCUCCAAUUUUUUUUUCCAAAAACAAAAGAAGACGAAUGUGUCUAUGCCAACAACCACAUAUCUUGAUUAAUUAUGAGAAUCGAAGUCCGUUGAUGAAAGUAUUAAGCAUGGAUGGAGUAUUUUUGGUUAAUAGUAGCAGAGAUAUAUACACAAUAGCAAUAGCAGUAGCAGACUAGUAGUUCAGUUUCAUGGUGAUUAUUUGUUUUGGAAUCCAUGUAGUUUUCGAUAGUAAUAGCGCGCUAGCAGAAGAGUCGACAGUAGCAUCACACUACCAUUAGUGUUAGCAGUAGUAGCUCAUUAGCAUCAAUGUUGGCACCAGCAACGCGCAGCAUCAGAGUCAACAGUAGCAGUGCGCUAGCAUCAGUAUUGGCAGUAGUAGCGCUCAUCUUCUUCAACUGAUUAUAAGGCAGUAAAAGAAUUGGAGUAUAAGACAAUAACAAAAUUGGAGUAGCAGAAGUGGAGGAUAAAACAAUAGCAGAGUUAACAUUCAUUGUCUUAGUCUUCAAAUAGUAGCAGAACUAGAGGAUUGCCGAAGCACACUUGUGCUACUACUGGGGUGUUAACCUUGCUACUACUUAUACUACGAUGUUAACCCCUGUUACUGCUACUGCUACUGCUACUGCUACUACUUCUACUAGGAUGUUAACCUCUGUUACAGCUUCUAUUAGAAUUAACUGCUACUACACUAAGUUAUUGAAAACCUGCUACUAUAUUCCAUUUAUUGAAAAAUUUUAAAAGGAGAGACUUUUCUCCUGGAAUGUUAACCCCUGCUACUACUUAUACAGGGAUGUUAACCCUUGCUACUUCUUCUACUGGGAUGUUAACCCAUGUUACUGUUUCUACUGGAAUUAACUGCUACUACACUAAGUUAUUGAAAACCUGCUACCACUACUGGAUUAUGGCUAUUAGCCGACGGAACCGUUCCGUCGGUUAAGAAUAUAUUUCGUAAUUCCGUCGGCUAAGCGUCGUCUGCUAAGACAAUAGCCGACGGAAUUGAUGAUUUCGUCGGCUAAGGGGAACUUAGUCGACGGAAUAUUUCCGUUUGCCAAAAUUUUAGUCAACGGAACUUAGUCGACGGAAAUUACUUUUCUGUCGACUAACUUUUUCUUAGCUGACGGAAUAUUUCCGUCUCCUAAGAUCUUAGUCGACGGAAGUAAAAAUUUAAAUUUUUUUUUUAGAAUAACUGGCGGUUUUUUUUUUCUUUUCCUUCUCUUCCUCUUCUCCGGCGACCACGACGGUUAUGUUUGUGUGUUCCCGAACAACUCCACUCCACCUCCGACGCUAAACUCUCCGGGAUUCUACCAACAAGGAUCCGCACGUACAACAAUCUAUUGCCUUACUUAUGCCGCGGAGAGUAACCGUCCGGACGUCAACCACCCCGCGAGGAGGAGGAGGAGGAGGAGGAGGAGGUGCCGCCGAGAAGAGGAGGAGGAGGAGGAGGCGGCAGUCCUUGGAGGAGGAGGAGGUGCCGCGGCGAAGGAGGAGGAGGAGGAGGAGGCGCCGCGGUGGUGGGGGAGCAACCAGACGAGGGAGAGAGAGAGCAAGCAAACAAGCUAGGGAGAGAGAGAUGAAGAGAAUGAGGGAGAGAAUUGAAAGUUAUAGAAUGGAGCCGAAAUAUAUUCCGUCGACUAAGUUCAAAAAUUUUAAGCGGCAGUUAUGCCCGCCAAAAAUUUUAAAAUUAUUAUUUUUUUAAAAAAUUUGGUUCCGUCAACUAAGUAGAUAUUUCCGUCGACUAAGAUAUAACCUAAGCGAUGGAAUAAUUUUUCGUCACCUAAGUUAUCAUAAAUAAUCAUUUAUAUUUAUAUAUAAAUGUUUCGUCGGUUAGGUAAAAAUUUCCGUCGCCUAAGAUCUUCUUAGCCGACGGAAUAUUUUUCCGUCAGCUAGGUGAAAACUUAGGCUACGGAAGGUUUUCCGUCUGCUAAGUAGAUCUUAGGCGACGAAAAUAUUAUUGUUCUGUCGGCUAAGUGAUUUUUUCCACUAGUGUAUUGUAUUCUAUUUAUUGAAAAAUUUUAAAACGAGAGACUUUUCUCUUGGAAUGUUAACUUCUACUACUACUUCUCCUGGGAAGUUAACCCAUGCUACUACUUCUACUGGAAUUAACUGCUACUACACUAAGUUAUUGAAAAUCUGCUAUUGUAUUCCAUUUAUUGAAAAAAUUUAAAAGGAGAGACUUUUCUCUUCUAAAAACAUAUUUAAUUAUUAUAGGGUUAGUUUGGUAAAUUAAACUAUGACACAUGGCAUGCAGAGAAAAUAUUGUCCUUAAUUGUUAAAAACUGUCUUUAUUUGACAAGCAGAUUUAUUUGUAUUUCGAAUUCUUUUAGAGGAUGUAUAUGUGAUUUGCUAUAAAUAGUAAUACAAAAUAGGAAAUUAUUGUAUGAAAAAAUAAGAUAAAAGAAAACAAAGAAGAAAUGUAGAAAGAGGAGGAAGGGGGAAGCAUCAAUCGAACCUAGGCCAUGGUAGGACAAAAGAAAACAAAGAAGAAAAUGUCAAAAAAAUGUAGAAAGAUGUAACACCCUGACCCAGGUGUUAGAAGAAUAAACGAAUAAAAUAAAUAAAGAAAUCCUAAAUCGAAAAUGAGAUAGCAUCUCAAAAUCAAACAAAACAACAAACAUCUUUGUCGCGUUUGGAACCUAAAUUUCUUUUGUUAAUUUGCGGCUGCACCCAAAACUUGAUCGGGCUGCCUACGUACCCUUUUAAAGGGAUCAAGCCACUCGUAGUUCAACAUUUUAAUCUACUUCUCUACCUUCACUAACAACAUCACAUUUACCACCAUAAGUCCAAAAUCAAAACCCUACUUAUGGACUCUCAAGAACCAGUUCAUGAUACACACCAAUUUAAAAUAUUUUCUCCUAUACCCAUUAAAUCAAAUCAACCCGGCCAUACAAAACCUCAUACAUCAUCAAGGCUAUACCAAUUUAUUAUCAUUCUAAUAUAAACCUCUAGGAGAAUAGUUCAAGAACUUAACUAAACCCCACACUUAACUCGCAAAACAACAUACUCAAGUGCCAAAGAGUGUGUAUAAAUAAUUAUGCACACAUACUUAUAUAUAAAACUCAACUUAUGCAAAUCAUCAACAUGUAUUCUUUCACCAUGAACCCAAGUUUACUAAACAUUCUAACUAGAUUUACUAUGGACACCCAUUAGAUAUACUAUGGACACACAUUUCAACUAACACCAAUCCCAUAUCCAUACAUAACACAGCAAUAUUCACUUCAAUGCAUAAGCACAAUCUAACAACUGUCUAACAGUAAUAUUCAUAUACCCGGUUAUCAAUUUUAACCGUUAAUAUCGCUAGUAUUCGGAAAAUCCGAAACUUAACCUACAUUACUCCAAAAAUUGCUAACUUUCCACCAAUGGGUUUCUCUCAUUUUUAGCAAUUUAAUAAGCAUGAAAAACUGUCCAAUCUCCGGCCACCCCCCAAUCGUAACCAAAAUUUAACAGAACUUUCCUCUCAACAUUUCGAACAAUUUUCAUGAACAACACUAAGCUCAAUUCUAGCUCUAAAUAGUUCAUUUGAUCAAGAACAAUAAAACCCGAUUUGGGGCUAGAAACCCUAAAAUCUCGAAAUCUCAAAUUCUCCUCACACACACCAUGAAUCGAGUUACAAGCUUCUAGAGGAAUGUUGUACUAAUCAAACCCAACCUAAUCAUAUAAAGAACUCACCGAUUGGUGGCCUGAGGAGGGAGAAAUCCGGCUAAAACAGCGACGAACAGUCGCACCUUCUCGCCGUGAUUUCUCCCAAACGGCAGCGAGAGGGACGCUGUCACCACUCUAGAUCGAUAGGUCUCCUACUUAGCUUCCUGCCGAUACCCGGAUCACCGCCCAAUUCAGCCUGACGACGGCGCACGAAGCAGAGAACAGUGGCUUGAGAGAGAGGAUCGCGCGGGAGGAGAGAGAGAGGUGCGGUAAGUUUCUAAUUUUUCUAUCUUCCACCUUCAGUAAGUUUCUCUUUUUAUACCUUUUACCAAAACAGUAACCUCCCGUUUUUAGACCAUAACUUUCUCAUACGAACUCUAAUUUGAGCGUGCCACGUGUCCACGAACUCGUAUUAAUGUUCUCUACAGCUUCCAUAAAGGAAGUUUUACCAAAUUAUCGACUUAACGAAAAGUCAACUUUUUGAGUCAUUUACGGUAAAACGGUUACAAGAAAUAAUAAUUGAAAAUUUACUGUAAACUUCAUAAAUUCACAGAGCAUAGCUCGUUGCUCCGGAAAAUAAUCCGGGCAUACCGGUGAGCUCGUAUAAACGUGUACCACGACUUCGGAGUUUUAAAUCCACUAUUUACCGUUUUCAGAAAAACUCGAAAACAACUCGAGCAAUCACUAUUUAAAUCUCUGAGCGCGAAUAAAGAAAAAUCUGCGGUAACUCAUAACCCCGAACAGUAACCUUUUAGGUACAGGGUAUUACAAUCUUCCCUCCUAAAAGAAAUUUCGUCCUCGAAAUUUCACGAUUGGUUAAACGGUCAAUACCCAUAACAAUUCACUUUCUUUUCUAUGUCGGGCUUCAGUACCCAUAACAUAUUUUUCCAUUUCCCUACAUGGGAACUCGACUUUUACUAGUCUCAUAAAUCAAUUCCGAAGCUAAUCAUCUUAUGUACCAAGGGUUCCUAUUUUACUAGGACACCACUCUACUCCGAGUAAUUAUUUCGCUUCCUCAAAACAAAUAGGAGAUAACAAUAUCUAAUCGUCGUCAUUACACAAUAAUAUCCCAUCAACAUGGUCUAUGGAUUACUUGAUCCGGAUAUAUUCAUUGCAUAAACACGCCAUAAUCUAGGACAUUAAUUAAGUCCAAAUAGGCAUAAAUAUAAUUACCUACCCAACCAAGAAGUCAAGUCAUCCUAGACUUAUCGACUCAACAAUGAAUGAGUCAACGUCGUCGUCAAUAUUUUACAAUCUUCGACGACCAGAUAAAAACAUAAGGAAAUGUAUCUCUCUAUCAAUCAAAUAGUCGUAACCAAUAAACGACUCACAAGCACAAGGAGAUCAAUCCGCGUAAAAGAUCAAUGUACACAAAACAGCUAUACUUUCAGCCUUCCAAACCUCAAGUAUGAGGUAACACCAUGGAACUCUGUAAUCGGAUUCACAUAAAUCCACGAUUUAUCGUGUGAGUAGAAGGUAUCUCGUCACCCAACCUGAGUUUGUUAUGCACUCGCUAUCCACGAACUCAAUUCUAAUUAUCAUUUACGUGACAUUAAGUCUAUAAAUCAUCGACACGAUAUAAGCUGCUUUUCUAGCUUCCCACAUCUUAAAAUAAUGAGAAACAUACGAUGGCACUCUAUAACCAUGUUUAACUUCAAAAUUCAUUGUCUAAAAACAUCAUAGUAAGUAUCUUAUACGACCUAUAUAUGUCGUAUACUUACAUAUGACCGCGUCCUUACAUUAACAUAACAAUUCCUUGAACAUGAAGAAACGAUAACUACCAAUUAGCUUAUCAUAACUAUCGCUCAAAAUGAGCAAUACAACAACAUAGCACAAACAUGUUCUCUAAUUCAGAAUAUAUCGUAUAACCAAAGACUCAGACCACACGACGCUAUGUCAUCAUGGUAGUCUGUUAAUUCCCACUGAAGAUACUAUACGGACUAGACCAGCACAAUGGUCAUUGUCUAGAAUCUAUUGCGCCAACAUAUAUUUUACCAAUCAAGGCCAAUUUCAAUGUCCAAAUUCCAGUAAUCCACACUAACAGUACUUACCGACUCGAUUCCAGAAUCAAUAUAAGUAGCACGUGGAAUUUACGAACAUCAGUUAGUAACCAAACUUCAAUAUAAUUAUCAUCCAAAACUGGUAUGAUCGGUCUCAAAUACCACUAGUAUCUGAGAAAGGUCCUGUGGGACCACUUUUAAGGAAAUUCUUUCGAAAAUUCGGCAUAACCUCCUCUAAAAGUGGACUACCCUUGACCUGUAAAAAUGAUAUACAUAUCUCAGCAUAAACAAAUCUCUGGAGCAUACUGCUCCCUAUAUAUCCACACUGUCCAAUAGACUAUAUAAUCAUCCAUCUUAUAUCCAUAAAUGCAUAUUUUUUUAUUUUUUUAUUUUAUUUGAUUUUUUUCUGCAAAUCGGAUAUGCAUUUGCUCAUACUUACUCAACAGAGUAAUUCAUCAUUACAAAUCAUGAAAACCGAUUAAUAAUAAUCAAAAUAUGAAAACCACGACUUAUAUCAAUAAGGUAUAAAACCAUACCUGCUCACACAAGUGAGAGCCACAUUUUUCGUUUCAUAGCAACAUCGUGCAAUCGCCGCAAUCAGCAGUAAAUCUCGGCGCUCAGCCAUCAACCCCACACUUGGUGGUAAUACCCCGCACUCUCGGCGGUGAAAAUCUGGCGCACGGCCGUAAAACCUCGCACACGGCAAUACUGUAUCCCUGCCCUCGGCAGUUAUCCCGGCACUCGGCUGUAAAUCCCCACUCUCAGUGGUAAUCAUCUUAGAAGUCCGCAAUCAGAUCUGGCAUUGGCAGCAAUACCCGACACUUGUGUGGUAAAACCCGGCACUUGGCCGUAACCAGUGUGGUAAGCCUACGCCCCCCAGGCAAGACGUGGUCGCACCCACACUAAACCCCGCACGUGGCGGUAACCCAGUACGGUAUCCUACACCCCGGGGCAAGACGAGGUCGCACCCGUACUGUAAACCCAGCCGAAGCUGUAAACCCAACAUAUAGCUGUAAACCCAACCGAAGCUGUAAACCCAGCAUAUAGCUGUAAAGCCAGCCAAAGCUGUAAAUCACCCCACACAACAUGCCAGAAGGGUAUAACCGUCAAUACUAAAGUUGGAAUCGCCUGCAUCAAACCACUAUACCAACAUUAGUAACAUGCUUAAACCGUUGCACAUACUAAUUGAGUUCCUAUAGAACAAUUAUAAUAUAACCGCUUGUAUCAAAUUAUUCCAGAAAUUUCUUUAACACAUAACUGCAUCCUCGAGAGAAUUGCACUGCAUCAUACUUAUAGCAAGCAACUCAAAUAAAAGGAUUAGUGAUUUAUAUCAUAGAACCACAUAUAUGAUGACCCAAACAUAACAUCUCCAAAAAUAACUUUAAAUCUUAUAUCAAUCAAUGCACUGUGUGAUGCUAUAAUUUAAAUAUAUAUAAUGGUGCAACAUCCAGAUCUUAUCUCUUCACAGCACUUAACAAACUCAUUUCUAUGAAAACAGUCAAUCUCACUUCCAGCUCUAAGAAUCAGUUACUCAAGUUCCUCUAAUUAUGGAUGCAUAACCCAUUUAAAACGACAUCAAUAAAUGUAAAUAUAUAUGCUUACAUACUAGCAAGCAUCAGUUCCCAAUUCUAUCUAAUAUAAAAUUGCAUAACAAGCAAAACUUCAUAUACAUUAGUGCUACCCUAUAUUUUUUUCCAAAAGCAAAGUUUUGCACUCCUACAGACCAAAAUAACCCCAACAUCAUAUUCAGUAUUAAAGCCAAAACAGUUCAGACAAUGAUUUGAUCAUCAUCACGGGAAUAAUAUGUUAAUCCACAUAAUAUGAUGUCUACAUGUUAGCAUACCACACUAACAUGCAAGAAAAUCUUAUCACAGAACAUCCCCACUCUAUUGGUGACCAAUAAAUCUGUUGGUCCAGAAUUUAUGCAAUACUAUAUACCUAAAUCAGUUUGCUUUGGAAGCUUGCCAAACCGAUCACGAAUAACUGAAGGUUCAUAACUUCAGAAAAUAUCUAACAGGUGAGGCCAGCUCACCUUAACUAGUAAAAUCUCUAGCUUAACAAUUCAAACAGAACCUUAUACUAAUGAAAUCCAAAUAAACAGCAAAACCACCCAAAUAUUUUUGUUGAAACUAGUAAUGGAAACAGAGGAAUACAAUUUCUCAUGAAUCCCCUCAUACGAUCAUCCCUCUGCCAAUAUUUCAAAUUUAAUUCUGGACACACAACACAGAUAUACAAAAAAAAAAAAAAAAUCAAAACUUUCGGCCAUCGAUCACUGCAUCCACUUAGGUAGCUAACUAAUGUAAAGUCACCAAGGUUCUCAAUAACAAAGCCACAAGUCUCCCCUACGACAACGUUAUGAAAAGCACAUAAAUACCACAAAACUUGGAUUUUGGAAACCCAUGAAAGAAUUAGGGCCUAACAAAGAGGUCUGGAACAGGUGGACUUAUGCAACUUGAAUCAUAUCACCAAGUCAAAUUACUAGACUCCAAUCCUAAUAGAUCACUAGGAGGGCUGAGAGCGUUAACAUAAGAAUAAGACCUUCAGUAAAUUUUUUUUUUUUUUUUUUUUUUUUUUUUUUUUUUUAAAAGCUCAUGCCUCCCUAGUCAUCAAAAUGCCAGAUCAGAUAAUCAAAUAAAUCAACUCACAAGUAUAUGCCAAUAUACGCCUAAUAGGGGUUGAAACGACUAAGACCAUUUCCUCACUAGUUGGAAUCUCAUUUAUGGUUCGAACCUGCAUAUCACAUUGGAGCAAUAUCAUACUUAAAGCCAGCAGCCUAUGGAUAGUAACCUGAUCACUAAAACUCACCACCAUACAUUGGUUACCCAAUACCAGAACUUCAUCUUAAACUGCAAUUUACUGUUCAGCAGUCAACACAUUUGUAGCUUAAAGUAGCAAGAAGCACAUCUAGGGUAAGUAUGAGGAAUGAAUAAGGCACAAGAGCCUUAGCCUAACCCAAUUGACAAGGCUUGCAACAUAUAAUGUAUAUAUGCACACAACACACCGUAAAGCUAUAUAUCAACUCUAUCUCACUUUUAAACAAAUAUCAAACGAACAUCAACACUACCAUCUAACAAAAAUUCCUGAUCACAUAUGUAUGAUAUAUAUAUGUAUAGAUCAUAUAUUCAUAAGAAAAUUAAAUUACCUCUCUUUGUCAAAUAUUCGAAGCAAAGAAAGGUAUAACCCAACAGAAUCACAAAGUGAAACUUAUCACACACAACAUAAUAAAUUUGAUUAGAUCAAUACUUUCAGCUAUCAAUUACUGAUUCACCUCUGAUGAAAAACUACUGUAAAGGCUCAAAGUAAACGAGCACUCUGGUCAGACGAGUUGUUUAACUUACUACCUGAUAUCGAAACUAUACUUCCCACAACUUCUAACCCGGGAAUCAUGUCCCCGCUCUGAUACCACUCUGUAACACCCUGACCCAGGUGUUAGAAGAAUAAACGAAUAAAAUAAAUAAGGAAAUCCUAAAUCGAAAAUGAGAUAGGAUCUCAAAAUCAAACAAAACAACAAACAUCUUUGUCGCGUUUGGAACCUAAAUUUCUUUUGUUAAUUUGCGGCUGCACCCAAAACUUGAUCGGGCUACCUACAUACCCUUUUAAAAGGAUCAAGCCACUCGUAGUUCAACAUUUUAAUCUACUUCUCUACCUUCACUAACAACAUCACAUUUACCACCAUAAGUCCAAAAUCAAAACCCUACUUACGAACUCUCAAGAACCAGUUCAUGAUACACACCAAUUUAAAAUAUUUUCUCCUAUACCCAUUAAAUCAAAUCAACCCGGCCAUACAAAACCUCAUACAUCAUUAAAGCUAUACCAAUUUAUUAUCAUUCUAAUAUAAACCUCCAGGAGAAUAGUUAAACUCAUGAACUUAACCAAACCUCACACUUAACUCGCAAAACAACCUACUCAAGUGCCAAAGAGUGUGUAUAAAUAAUUAUGCACACAUACUUAUAUAUAAAACUCAACUUAUGCAAAUCAUCCACAUGUAUUCUUUCACCUUGAACCCAAGUUUACUAAACAUUCUAACUAGAUUUACCAUGGACACCCAUUAGAUAUACUAUGGACACAUAUUUCAACUAACACCAAUCCCAUAUCCAUACAUAACACUCCAAUAUCCACUUCAAUGCAUAAGCACAAUCCAACAACUGUCUAACAGUAAUAUUCCUAUACCCGGUUAUCAAUUUUAACCGUUAAUAUCGCUAGUAUUCGGAAAAUCCGAAACUUAACCUACAUUACUCCAAAAAUUGCUAACUUUCCACCAAUGGGUUUCUCUCAUUUUUAGCAAUUUAAUAAGCAUGAAAAACUGUCCAAAAAGUGGCAGCACCACCGCCAGCUCUGCCUGCUGCGGCGGCAGGCCAGCGGCCAAUCUCCGGCCACCCCCCAAUCGUCACCAAAAUUUGACAGAACCUUCCUCUCAACAUUUCGAACAACUUUCAUGAACAACACUAAGCUCAAUUCUAGCUCUAAAUAGUUUAUUUGAUCAAGAACAAUAAAACCCGAUUUGGGGCUAAAAACCCUAAAAUCUCGAAAUCUCAAAUUCUCCUCAUACACACCAUGAAUCGAGUUACAAGCUUCUAGAGGAAUGUUGUACUAAUCAAACCCAACCUAAUCAUAUAAAGAACUCACCGAUUGGUGGCCUGAGGAGGGAGAAAUCCGGCUAAAACAGCGACGAACAGUCGCACCUUCUCGCUGUGAUUUCUCCCAAACGGCGGCGAGAGGGACGCUGUCACCACUCUAGAUCGAUAGGUCUCCUCCUUAGCUUCCUGCCGAUACCCGGAUCGCCGCCCAAUUCGGCCUGACAGCGGCUCACGAAGCGGAGAACAGUGGCGGGAGAGAGAGGAUCGCGCGGGAGGAGAGAGAGAGGUGCGGUAAGUUUCUAAUUUUUCUAUCUUCCACCUUCGGUAAGUUUCUUUUUUAUACCCUUUACCAAAACAGUAACGUCCCGUUUUUAGACCAUAACUUUCUCAUACGAACUCCAAUUUGAGCGUGCCACGUGUCCACGAACUCGUAUUACCGUUCUCUACAACUUCUAUAAAGGAAGUUUUCCCAAAUUAUCGACUUAACGAAAAGUCAACUUUUUGGGUCAUUUACGGUAAAACGGUUACAAGAAACAAUAAUUGAAAAUUUACUGUAAACUUCAUAAAUUCACAUAGCAUAGCUCGUCGCUCCGGAAAAUAAUCCAGGCAUACCGGUGAGCUCGUAUAAACGUGUACCACGACUUCAGAGUUUUAAAUCCACUAUUUACCGUUUUCAGAAAAACUCGAAAACAACUCGAGCAAUCACUAUUUAAAUCUCUGAGCGCGAAUAAAGAAAAAUCCACGGUAACUCAUAACCCCGAACAGUAAUUUUUUAGGUACGGGGUAUUAAAAAAAGGAGGAUGGGGAAAGCUAGGAAUUGAACCCAAGUCAUAGUGGGAGAUGAAAGUCUUAACUAAGCCAACAAUGAUCUUUCUACAAAAUGCACAGCUAGUGGUAUAUAGCCUAAUUUUUUUUUUUUCUAGGCUUCAGCCCAUAGAGCCUACUAAGUAGAUCUGUCCCUGCCAUUUUGCUUGUGUUACAUUCACUUUCUUGUAUAAUCCAAGAGUGAAUGAGUUGUAUCACUUGUAUGACAUGCGCGUGGAGUGCAGUUUCUCUAUUUGUAAGGUAUAUUUGAUUAGGUUUCUAGUCCUAGUUUGAAAUUGAAUAUGCUUUCUUGUUGCCGUGUUGGACUAAGGAUUCUCUUAGUCGACCUAGUUUGAGCUUUGCAGUAUAUUUCCAUAAACACUAUUGUGUUUUUAGUUUGCAACAAGGAAGGGUGGAAGGAGUGAGGUUCAAACUCCAAAGUAAGCAUUAAUUGCUACUAACACACCCCUUUUUGGUAUUAACACACCUCAUUUAUGAUGAUAGCCAAUCAUGAAACAAAUACAAGUGACAAGUUUGUAAAUAAAUUUAAAAUGUGUGGAUAUGAAAAUACAUAAUAUGUGUUAAUAGCAAAAAGAGGUGUGUUCAUAGCAUCACCGUAGUUGAAUUUGUCUCAUUUUGUCAUUUAAUAGCAUCACCCAAGUUUGUAAACAAAUUAGAUUCGUUGGAUUAAAUCAUUUAAAAUCCAACGGUUGUUAGAAGCUUGUCCCGUUUUGUCUUGUAAAAAGUGUCUCGCAUGUGAGCGGGUCUGUUUAACAUUGUUAGCUGACAAGACAUUGAUAAUUUAGCAAAACUACAUAACGACCUAUCCAUGUGACGGCAAUGGCGUAACUAGAAAUCUCACUUAGAAAUGUCAAGUUUUAUUAACUAAAAAAUUAAAUUCUUUUUUUUUCUAACUCUCUAGCAAUGACAUAAUUUUUCUUUAAAAAAUGCCGCAAACUUAAUUUCAACAAUAUUUUUGUCCUAGAUAUCAAUUCAUAAAUGAACAUUUCUCCUGGAAAGACCAUUAAAUCAUCUCGAGUAAACUUUAGAUUUCAGUAUUUCGUGCACGAUAAAUAUCAAAAAUAAUUAGUUCCUUUCUCUUUUUUGAGAGAUAUUGUCGAUAUGUGAUAAACAUUAAUGUGUUGAUUCUAUUUUGCUUAUUUGUAAAGAAAAAAGAUUGUAAAUGGAAUUUAAAACAUUAAAGUAUGUAUUAGUAAGGUAAGAAAUCAUUGAUGCAAUUUGUAUUAAUUGGAUUAAAGUAUUUCAUUCCACUAAUGUUAAAAAAUAUUUAAGACUAUUUAAGAAUUUCUUAAAGGUGAAGGGUCAAUUUAUGUUUCAUUCCAUUAAUAUCUAAUACUAAUGAAGACUAAUUAUACAAUUAAAAAUUUUAAAAGGGUUCAAUAAUUGAACCCUCUCGCCCCUACCUAGCUACGCCUCUGCCUGUAUGUCCAACAAAAGAAGCCAUUAUAUGCUCAAUUCAACCUUUUAUUGUUUUAUAAAACCCAUGCAAAAUCUAACCAACAUUAUUUAAGAGAAAUCAAAAUGCCCAGAUAGUGUGACCAAAAUAUUUUUAUAAACGUUACUAAAAAGGUAGGAGGUAAGUUGUGAGUUUGACACAAAUAAAAUUAGUUGUUUUAAUUCCUAGUUGUUUAUGUAAUAGACUUUGUUAUAAAUGAACAUGAAUCGCUCAAGUUGCGUCAUAAAAUUCUAGAUUAUUCGAGAAGAUUAAUCACUCCCGAAAAUCUAUUGAUCGGUGCGGUAUACUUAGAAACCUUUUCAUAAUUUAAUAAGAGGUAGUUACAUUAAGUAACUUUAGUGUCGGACACUAUCGUUAUAAGAAUAUUUUGUUAUUAUAUGUAUGUAGGGCUAUGCAUAGGCCGGGACGAGCCGGAUCGACCUAAUCCCGGAAAUAUAUCACGAGAUGGGACAAGACGGGAUUAACUAUUUUAGACCUGAUCCCAAACGAUCCCGAUUGGGACCAGGACAGGUCCAAGCCUAAAUCGGGAUUCAACCUCUCUUUUAAGAAAAAAUAAAUAAAAAAAUUAUGGAGGGAGGGCUCGAGCAUCCGCCGAGACCGGCUUCUCACCUAUACCAUCAAUUACAACCAAGAACACAAAAAUAUAGCAAAACAAACACAAUCAAAAUCCAAGAUAAGUAGAUCUAUUAAAGAGGAAUUCUUUUUUCCCAUUCAACAAUUACAAUUACAAACCCCAGAUAUGUAGAUUUCAACAAAAAAAUUGAAAAUUUAUAAUUAACCUAAAAUUCAAACAAACAAUCAAAAUCAAAGGAUAGAUUGGGGUUGGUGUUCCUUGUUGGUGGUGUGUCGAUUGUUGCUGUCUCUGUCGACUGAAGGAGAUGGUGCGUAGAUUCACUAGAUUGCUUGCAGAAAUAUGUGUUGUUGUUGAUCGAUACCCCCAAUAUUGGUCUCUUUGAACCCUCAAAUGAACAAGUAAGAGAGAGAUCUAGAGACGGAAGGGGUUGAUAGAAGUUUGCGAGAAGGAGGGAAGUAGCGAGAGCGAGACUGUGAGAGAGAACUCAGAGGAGGGAUGAAAGAAUUAAUAAGAGGGAAAGAGGUCGAGGGAUUCUUCAAAGUCAAAAAAAAAGGGUAGCUAGCCUCAUACGUGCAUUCUUAAAGUGACUGGGCAUCUUUACUAAAGCUAUUAUUACAAGGUAUAUAUAUAUUUAUAAGGAUGGGUUUACGGGAUUUGAUAUCAUAAUCCUGAACCCCGUCCCAUUUUCUUAAAACGGGAUAGGCCGGGACGGGUUUGCACUUUUUCUUCUCAAGGCCCGUCUCGUCCUGUUUAUUUUCGGUACGGAAUCGGGACAGGAUCUCGGGACCGGUUUUAUAUGCUCAACCCUAUAUGUAUGUGUGCGUAUCUAGUUAGAAGCUCCUUUUAAAUAGAAUUUCUAUUAUCGAAUAAAUUGAUAGUUGUUUUCAAUAACGAUAAGUCCCAGGGGUAGGAGCCAUAAGUCCCCAGACCUGUGAAACUUUGGCAUUAGUCAAUGGUCUUCACUUUUGUACUCAAGCAGGUUUCUCAAAUGUGAUGGUGGAAGGUGAUGCCCAAAUGUGAUGAACGCAUUGGAGGAGACAGAAGAGGAUUUGUGUUUUGAUGGGGGUCUGCUAGAUGAAGCAAGGGCAUUAAUAAGUUCUUUUCAGCAAUGCAGUUGGGGUUUUGUUCCCAGAGGAUGUAAUAAAGCUGUGUACUUUCAUUACCUUAUCCCACAUAUUGGUGGCUAAUGGAGUCGGAGCGGCUCUCAUCAGUUUUAAUUUCUGAAGCAAGUUUUUAGUCUUUCUAUGGAGUGUGGUACUCUUCAUUCUGUUUAUGGAGGGUUUAAUGAGGUCACUUUGUACUCCUAUUGCAGUCCUUUAAUUACGAAUGAAUCAUUCCCUUUGACAAAAAAAUAAAAUAAAUAAUAACGAUCGUUACUGUCUAAAGAUUGCUUAAAUUUUAGUUUUACGUAAAUUAAAAUAACAACGUAUUAUUGCAUGACAUCCCCAAUCUUUCAAUUCAGAUUGACUACCAAUAAAUUAAUAUUUGACUAUAGUAUUAUUAUGGGCCCAGAUCAGGGAUGGUAAUGGGUAGGGUAGGGUACGGGGAUCAAAAUACCAUACACAUAUUUUUUACUUUUCUCAUCCCCGUACCCGUUUUCAUACCCGUAAUUAGAUAAUGGGGAUUCCCCGUACCCGUACCCGUACCCUUUGGGGAUUACUUUCCAUACCCGUACCCGUUAACAAUUAUAUAUUAAAUUAAUUUUUUUUUUAAAUACGAAAUAUAAUUAUAUAAAUGUAUGAAAUUAAAAUCAAAUACCAAAAUAAAUAAGUUUCAUGCUUCAAUCAUAAAUUUUUUUGCAUAAAUAUUUAUUUAUAAAUUAUAUGUAAAUAUAUAUAUAAUAAAUUAUAUAAUUAUAUAUAAUAAUAUUUUCAUCCUUAAUGGGUGGGGAUUGGGACGAAUAUCAAAAUACUAUACCCGCCCCGUACCCGAUUUAAGAAUCCGAAUGCUGGGGAUCCUCAUUCCCGUUACCCGUUUAUACCCGUAUAUCUUUCCCGUUAGGGUCAAAUAUCCGUGGGUACCCUACCCGUUGGGGAUUAUUAUCAUCCCUAGCCCGGAUCAAGGGACACUUUAUUUUACUUAAAUUUUUAUACUGUUUUUCGACCAUUAGAUUGAAGUUUUCAAUGGUCUUGAUUCAUUAUAAGCAUGUUGUGGCAGAUGAUGUGGAAACAAUUUUAUUUUCUAAAAAAAGAAAAUUAAAACUUAAAUGAAGAGGAUUUUAUGUAGAAAAUCAAGUCUAAAUUAGAAGGUGAAUGUCAUCUUCUUCUUCAUGCAGAAAGAAAACAACCUCCAUGUAUAUUCUCCAAGUUUGAUUGCAAUAACAAUAAAUAUUGUAAUCGUAAACAUAUUUUAGCGGAACAUGUAAGAUUAAUGUUUAGAUUGAGAAAAAACAAAAACCAUCAAUCUUCUUCAUCUAGAUUCUAGACCUAAAUCAAAUGAUGUGAUUUCAAUGUAAAGAAAAAAGAGGGGAUCUGAAAACCAUUGAAAACCCUAAGAAGAGGAGAGAUAAAAAUUUGAACCAGUACUAAUACUACUUACAUUGGAAAAUGAAGGAGACCGGCCAGGGGAGGGAUGAAUUUUAAUUUUUCAUCUCGAGCAAUUGAUGUUGAAAGGAGAGAUAUCUAGGUUUCUCAUAUUUCCCAAUUCCCAUAAGAAGAAUGCGUUCUGCAAAAACAUGAAGAUGUUCAUCUUCUAUCUUUAAUCUUCCUUAGUUAUAAAUUUAUUAUCAAUUAAGUUUAUCUAUUAAUACAUAUAUAAUUAUUUCUACAUCAUCUGCCACAUUAUGCUUAUAAUGAAUCAAGACCGUUAAAAAUACUUAAAUCUAAUGGUUGAAAAAUUAAUGAUGUAAAAGUUUAUGUAAAAUAAAGUGUCUCUUGAUCCGGACCUAUUAUUAUAGCUAGCUUAUUGCUUUCUUCUUAUUGUAAUUAUAGUAAGUUAGUAACAAAUACGUUCUCCAGGGCAUUAUAAUAAAGUCUAUGAUUUAGUGUAUGCAUCUUUGAAUGAGCAUCUCCAGCAGUAUUGCUAAAUCAAUUUUUUUUAAAAUUUGUCAACUUUUGGGAUGAAUAAGGGCUCCAGCAGAAUGCCUAAAAAAUUACUAAAUCCUAACAUUGCUAAACUAAAUUGACAAAUUUAUCAAUCUAGACAUAAAUUGCUAAAGAGAAACAUAUGUUUUCCCUCCAUUUUUUAUCCACGUGUAAGUUUAUGAUUCGUUAAAAUAAUUACUUAACUUACACUUAGCAAUUACUGCUGGAGCACAGUUGCUAUUUCAAUUGUUAAAUAUCCUAACUAUUGUUAAAUUUAGCAACAAACUUACCUAUACUACUACUACUGAAGAUGCUAUAUCAUUUAGUGCAUGCAUCUCAGCAUAUCUUUGAAAACCACUAACCACUCAUAUUUUAAAAUGUAUCAAACGCAGACCACUCAUAUUGCAAAAUAUAUUCAAUGCCAAAAACCAUGGUCGCCUAUAGUAUUCACAUAUUUGUUAGACAAAAUUACGCUAUAAAAGCACAACAGAGACCCUGAGUAAAUCACACCUUCAAUCUCUCUUCUUCAGCGUCCCAUCUCUUCUCACUAGUUUGAAUUAAUAUGUUGAAAGUUGGUCUUGUAAUAUCUGAGGCCGAAUGCAAAGAUGAAGAUGAAGACCGUGCCUGUAUCAUAGGGCCUCAAUUAAUCGAAUCAAUGAUUUACCAGAGGUAGAUCUCUUUCUGAAACAAUCUCUUGCCAACAAACUUUUUGAAUAUAUAAAAUGUGUUGUUUAGGGUAUUCAUGAACUUGCAAUAUUGUACCUUGUUUCAGCGUCUCGAGAGAGAUCGAGAGAUCGCAUAACCGAAUACAAAUCAUUCUGCAUCCAAUAUGUAUCAAUGUUUUAUCCAUUUUUAUCUGAAUUCUAACCUUUUUUUUUCUUUUGUGAUCAGUUGUAUGUGUGGAUCCUAUAGAGAAAGAGGAGCACGGAGGAUAAUGUAGUGACCGGGUGAUAUUGAAGAAGAUGACACGAGAGGUUCAGGUGCAAUAUCCUACUGCUAACAAAGGCUGACAUAGCCUCUGGAGAUAUGUUUCUCCUUAAGAGUUAAGAGCAGGUUUUGGAAAAAUCUUUGUCUCUCCAGUAGACGGGUUCCAUAACGCAAGUAUGUCGAACCCAAGAAUGUCAUCUUUCUCGUCUAUCUCGAGACAUACCAGACCAUGGCAGGAACACAAGCUCAAGAAUGUCAUCCUUCUCGUUUAUCUCGAGAUGUACCAGACCAUGGCAGGAACCCAAGCUCCUCAUCCUUCUCGUCUAUCUCGAGACGUACCAGUCCAUGGCAGGAACUCAAGAACGACAAACUAGUGUUGGGCUCGAAUAUGUCUACACAACGUACCUCUUUGAGUUUUGCAAUGAAUCAAUGAUCUACCAAAAUUAUAGAUUUUUGGUUAGUUUUAGGCUGAUUGUAUGAGUCUUAGAUUGUUUUUUGUAAGUAUUUGAUUGUAAUCCGAUAAUUAAUCAAUGAAGUAUUGUUUUUAGGGCCAGUUUUGGUGCUUGACCCUUUGUAUUAUUGAAUAGCAAAUCAAUGAAUGUUUCAGCUACGUAUGUGUACAUACGUGGAAUAUCAUAAGCUACUUUUCAUAUUGUGGCAAGACAAGCUUGACAUCUAUUGCAAAGCUUAGUAGUGAAACUGUGUAAUUAGUUCUUUAGAGAGGUUUUAAAUUGUCUAACCUAGCUAGAGUAUUUCUGCGCGCAAGAUAGGUGCUCAGUUUGCUGCAUCUUUUUCAAAGGCAAAACCUACCUGUUGGAAAGUGAGAGAAGUGGUGCGUAGUACGUAUAUGUUGUUCGUAUACUUUUACUUUUCUAAACCAAUAUGCCUUUGCAUUACAUGGAUCAUCAAGAAUGACAUAUAAUUUGAUUCCACCAGUUUUGCUUUAUAAAAUCUAUCACCAUCUAAUCACAUUCCCUUUUCAGUUUUAGUGUUUCAAUAUAAGUCUUCUCUUCUUUGGAUUUCUUGUACUUAUUUAUCAUACUGUUCAUGUAAAAUUCUUUACUAAACUCAGGUCUGGCAUGGCUAUUGAAAUUUACUAAUUGAUAAUCCUAAUCCCUAACCGACUUGCUUCAAUUCUCCAAGUCCAAUCAUAUGUCAUAGAUGGUUUGGUUAUAAUAGAUGGUUUGGUUAUUUUUAGGAUAGAACACUGCAAUUUUGCAGAAGUUUUUAGGAUAUCAAUAUUGUAGAACUUUAAUUGAUUGGACUAUUGCAACAAAUUCAAUUAAUAUAGAGAGCUUAAGUGAGUUUUAUGGAAGCAAUCUUCUCUCUCUCUCUCACUUAUACUAUUUAGUUUUGCGUUACACUCUCUAUAUAUAGGGUAAGUACAAUAAUGAAAAAUCGAUCAAACAUUUAUAUCGAUCAAUAUUUAAUUACUUUCCCAUUACAUCAAACUUAUAUACUUCCAUGCUGGAUACAAAUUUGCCGACUACAUUUUACUUGGAAAACAAAUUUGCGGACCAUGUUUUACUUGCACACAUCAAUGCUCAUCAUUUAAAUUAGUGACACAUGCCCUUUUUUUUAUCAAGAAUAAAAUGGAACCAUUUGAAGAGACAUGGUGGGCAAGUUAAAAGCGGUCGGCAAAUUAAUUUGUAUCCAUUACUUUUCGAGAUGUGUUAGAUGCUCGUAGCAAGGCUAACCAUGGAGUGCUACACUAACAUCGCAAAAGACGGAGAAGACGUCGUUUGAGGCUGACAUCAGAUGUUGCUAAUAGGUCCCAAAGCCAUCAUGGCUAGGGUUUAUGAGGAGACAGAGCCUCUUCAUAGUAUUUUUACCCUAAUCUCCAACUUGAGGAGAUUAGGGUAAAAAACCAGGCACGAGCUAGGUUCAUACAGGUAUAAAUACUUCUAUCUCCCAGUUUAGAAAAUGUGGACACUAUUUAUUCACUGUAAACUAUCAAGUAUUGGAUAUUGGUGGGCGUGCUAUGUCUUGGUAAAUGCACGCAUCGUGCCAUGUUUGCUCUUUGGAGGCUGUGAGCUCUUUACCUUUUUAAAUGGCCGCGGCCUCUAUUCUGUGAGGAGUGGAUAUCAUGUUGCUAGGAGGCUGAGGUUGGAACAGAUAGGAGGCACCUCUUCAGUUUUAACUAGUAACUCUCCUUUAUGGAAGAAGAUAUGGAAAGUGAAGGUGCUGCCAAAGGUAAAAAACUUUGUUUGGAGGUUGGUUAAAAAUAUUGUCUCUACAAAAGAGGUAUUAAUUAAGCAAGAGAGUCCCUUUGCCAGACCAUCUAUGUCCAUUCUGCUAUGGCGAAACCGAGUCCUCGUUGCACCUCUUCAAGAUCUGUAAUGUAGUGGCGUGUAUUUGGCUGUUUAGUUCGUUGGAUAUGAGAGCAAGACACUCUGGAAUGGAGACCAUUGAAGCUUGGAUCCAAGAUAUACUGGAGAACUUACAGGCACCACAAAUGGAGGUAUUCUUUAUACUUCUCUGGUCAAUUUGGGUUGAACGUAACUAUGUGGUUUGGAAUGGUUCAAGAGUGGAUCCAAGGGAGACGGUGAGAUGGGUAAUGGCUUUGUUGGACGAGUACAAGCGAGCUCAACCUGUGGCAAAUAAAGGAAAGAGAAGUAGACAAGAAGAGAGGUGGAUUUUUCCUCCUAGAGGCAAACUGAAACUCAACCUCGACGGGGCUUAUAGAGAGGACGGAUCGGGAGGAGCUGGUAUGUUGGUGAGAGAUGAGAAGGGCAUUGUUAAGGGAGCGUGGUCAGUGCAUUUGACCAAUUUAAAUUCUCCCCUACAGGCCGAGGCUAUGGCAUGCAGAGAAGGGUUGAGGAGAGCAGUAGAACAAGGUUGGCUCAACAUUGAUGUUGAGAGUGAUUGUGAAGUUCUGGUGGCGGCUCUGAACGGUGAGAACGGUGGUGGAUUGGAGGUUAGUCGGAUUAUUGAUAAUUGUCGUUACUAUUUGAUUUUAUUAAACAAUAGUGUGGUCAGACAUAUCUAUCGUGAAGCAAAUAAUGGUGCUCAUAGGUUAGCCCAUUUUGCUAGUUAUAAUAAUGUAAUAGAGCUAAGUGUUGGUUUAGUUCCUAUAUUUUUACAAGAUGUCCUCUAUGAGGAUUCAUGUAAUGCUAGCUUCUAGUGCACUCCGAGGUAAAGGUAUUAUGUCCCCCUCGGUGAUACACAAUUCUAUUAAUAUUAAUAACGAGCGUGGCGCUGAGCCUCCCAGGUAGGCUGGGUUCCAAACCCUUUUAUCACAAAAAAAAAAAAACUAGGUCGCAGCCUCCUAAUGACAAGAUGAAACUUAGGGUAACUAGUAAUUCCCAAUGACAUCAUAUUUGGAAAGUUGAUAAACAUAGUAACUUAGGGCUUUGUACGAGCAGUAUUUUCAGGUAUGUCACUAAAUUUGUAAAGCAAAAAGCAAAUGGAGUAGCCAAUGAUGCCCUCGUGCUUGCUUAGAAUGUAUAGAUUUUGUAGACAUGCCUAAUACUAUUUUAAUACUAUUACAGGGUUUAGGCUCAAUGUCCCCACCCCCCCCCCCCCCCNNNNNNNNNNNNNNNNNNNNNAAAAAAAAAAAAAUCAAAUUUAUUUUUCAUAUUGAAUAUUACACUAUUUUUUAAAUAAAAAAUAUUUCGAUAAACGUUACCAAAAAGGUAUAGGAGGCACAUUGUGAGUUCGGCUCAAAGAAAAUUAAUUGUAUUAAUUCCUAAUUGUUCAAGUAAUAGACUUCGUUAUAAAUAAACAUGAAUCACUUAGGUUGUCUGUCAUAAAAUUCUAGAUUAUUCGAGAAGAUUAAUCACUCCUGAAAGUAUUUUGCCUGGUACGGUAUACUUAGUAACAUUUUCAGAAUUUAUUAAAAGUAGUUACAUUAAAUGACUUUAGUGUCAGAGAUUCUCGUUAUUAGAAGAUUAUGUGUCAUUAUAUGUACGUAGGUUUAGAUAUCUAGAUUAUUCGAGAAGAUUAAUCACUCCCGAAAAUUGUUGACCGGUAUUGUAUACUUAGAAACCUUUUCAGAAUUUAAUAAAAGUAGUUACAUUCAAUGACUUUAGUGUUAGAGAUUCUCGUUAUUAGAAGAUUAUGUGUCACCCUAAAUAGAAUUUCAUUUAUCGAAUAAAUUAGUAAGAGUUGUUUUCAAUAUCAAUUGUCACUGUCUAAUGAUCGCUUUUAAAUUUUAGUUUUACGUAAAUUAAAACAACAACGUGUUGCAUGACAUCCCCAAUCUUUCAAUUCACAUUAAUUACCAACAAAUUAACAUUUGACUAUUAUUAUUAUUAUUAUUAUUAUUAUUAUUAUUAUUAUUAUUAUCAUCAUCAUCUUCUUAUUGCUUUCUUAUUGUAAUUAUAAAAACAAAUACAUGCUCCAAGCGAAAGUUCUUGUAUGCACCUAGGUACAAGUGAACCAAUAGUUAUAAUUUAAUCUGAACCGUUGAUUUGAUCUGGUUUUAUAAAUUUACUAACUUUGAUAUUAACACUGUUAAAUGACACUAACAACGAUGCUAACACCGCUAAGAAUAAAAACCAAAAAAAAAAAAGAAGUCAAACGUGGUAAAAACGUGAUAAAAGCACAAAACAGUUAAAUAUUUAGCUAAUCAAAUUAAACCAAGAUAAUUUUCCAUUCAAAAAUUGUCUCUUUGUAGAAUUUAUAAGUCUGNNNNNNNNNNNNNNNNNNNNUACUAUAUAUAUAUAUAUAUAUAUAUAUAUAUAUAUAUAUAUAUAUAUAUAUAUGAGGCUGUGGCUUGCGAAUUUUAUUACUUUUUGAUUUAUGUAUGUCACUCUUAAAUGUUAAGUUAAUUUUUUAUGGACAGGAUAAAAUAUAAAUCGUUGUAUACAAUAGGACUAGCUGAUAUGAAUAUGUAACAUUUAUCCGCAGUCGGCAUAAAAAUCAAAGGUUGAUUUCAUUUUUCGGAAGGGCCACCGCAAGCAAGAUUUCUUCACGAUAGAGAUGGUUUAAUCCAUUUCUAAUGGUGCAAGGCCUCCACCAAAAGCUCUACGCGGAUAGCUUUUGCAUGGAGAUUUGAAGUCUUGAACUAUAUAUAUCACUUUCCCACGACUAAAGUAGAUAUUCUAGUCUAGCCAAUAUGGAAUUCAAGUUCCUUUCCCAUUAGUGAACGAAAGAGCUAGGCAUAAUGGCAUCACAAUGUGAAGCAAGGCCAUCAAGAAGGAAUUGAAUAUGCUUCAAAAGGUGGUUAACCCCUUACCUGUCGGUGCAACCUUGGUGUGGCGUGGUGCAGCUGAGGCCAAGAACUGAACACAAACCCAACCCUUUACAGCUACUAUAUCACAGUAGUACACAGACUAGACUUGAGGCAAACACCAACCCAACCCUUCCCCACCUUCCCCUUUUUUGCAGUUUGUGAAAAGAGACCAACCAACCAACCGCCCAAAACACAGUCGGGAGAGAUCUGAGUACAGCUCAGUUUAGGCAAGAUGACAAUGCCCAAAAGCCUCGUAUCAGAAUAGGAAUUCUUUAGUGUCAUAAUGAAAUGAGAGACUGAAUCUCGAUCACACCAUUGCGUGGUGUAGAAGCAACCGGAUCACUACUUUUGCAGUGACAUUUCGUUUUCCUAAGCUAGCUGUACGUACAAGCAUAAUUACCAAGCUCACAAUCGCAACCGCGCAGGCAUGAGACUUCAUUAACAUUAGCCUCGAUCUUCAGACAGGCCAUGUGAGAUACAAUUAUUUACGGUGUGUAUCGUCGACACAUUUCCAGAAUUGAUUUGUCGAAAGUUCUUGUAUGCACCUAGGUACAAGUGAACCAAUAGUUAUAAUUUAAUCUGAACCGUUGAUUUGAUCUGGUUUUAUAAAUUCACUAACUUUGAUAUUAACAUUGUUAAAUGACACUAACAACGAUGCUAACACCGUUAAGAAUAGAAACCCAAAAAAAAGAGUCAAACGUGGUAAAAACGUGAUAAAAGCACAAAACAGUUAAAUAUUUAGCUAAUCAAAUUAAACCAAGAUAAUUUUCCAUUCAAAAAUUGUCUCUUUGUAGAAUUUAUAAGUCUGUUGAGUAUCCUCUCUCUCUCUCAUCAGCGGCGACCCGAUGGCGAUGGAGCAUGAUGAGCCUGCAGGUGCGACCAAUAAGGCGGUCGUAAUAUGGCUCCUCCGGCGCACAACAGCACGGCUCUCCCACAAUAAUUUUGAGGGUCAUACAAGGUCAUCGACAACGUCACGCAGCCAGAGCCAAGCGGAUCCCACUGGUUGGUGUCGGGAUGGACGGCGACAGACGUACGUAGUGCAGGUGGGUGAGAUAGGGGUUCGAUCUGGGAGAUAGGAAUGGUGCAGAUGGGUGGACGUGUGGGAAACUGGGAAUGAUGAGGUGUCUUGGGCCUGAACCUUAUGGCCUCCGGUUCUUCUAGUUUUUUCAUAAUUAAAUAUAAUAGAGAUUACUUAAAAAAUUAUUCAAAAAAGAAAUAUAUAUAUAUAUAUAUAUUUGAUAAAUUAAAAGUGAUCAUAUAUAGCAUAUAGCAUUUUAAUUCAAAUGUAUAUAAAGAUUAUCUGCAAAAUUAAUAAUACUGAAACUAAAAAUUGAUGAAUUUGAUAAAGAAUUGAACAUUUACCGCAUAGCAAAUGAAUUUUGUAAACGCUUUGCUCUUUUCUCGGGAAUAAAUAAAGGAUAUGGACAAAAUCGAUAAAAUGGAAGAAAUUCUUACUCAUAAAAUAAUUGAUUAAGAAAAUUAGACCACAUUUAAAAUUUUAAAAAAUCAGCUGUAUGAUGUGAUAGUUAUAGUGAAAUACGGUCAUGGUAGAAAAAUUAAAUAUUUUCGAUAACAUUUUAGCCUCGAUAAGGCGGUCAACUCUAUUUACGCUUAUUCUUUUUAAUGGAGAGCCCUAUCAUCAUGAGGUAAACUUUAUCAAAUGUUUACAUGGGCUGUUACAUCUCUUUUGCAUGAGUGUGUGCGUAGAUGAAUUGACCAGAAUAAGUAAUAAUGGGUUGGGUGAGAAUGUUUUCGUGUGAUAUGGGACAUCGAUUUAGGGUUGACCGUGUGGAUCGAGACACAUAUAUUAUAAAAAAUAGGUGAAUUUUUUUUCAUAGCCAUAUCCAACUACACUGAUUACAUCAAACGGUCAUACUUUGAUUUUAUAAAAUUUAAUUAUUAGGAUCCCAACGUGCCUACUAAUGUGGUGUAACUUGUUUAGUAGGUAUUAUGUAAAUGUACAUAUUUAUGAAGCAACUAUAUCUUGCAAAUAGAAUUUUGAAAAAUCGGCCGUAAGAUGUCAUAUGUAUAGGGGAAUACGGCUAUGGUAGAAAAAUCACAUAUUUUCGAUAACGUUUAGGCCCCGAUCAAGACAGUCAACCAUAUUUACUCGUAUUCUCUCGUAUGGGGGCCUUAUCGUUGGGAGGUAAACUUUCCCAAAUUUUUACAUGGGUUGUUAUAUUUCAUAUACAUGAGUGUGUGCAUGAAAAAAUUGACCAAAAAAAGUCACUAGCAGGUAGGUGAGCACGUUUUUCUUGUAAUAAGGGACGUUGAUUAUUUAAGGUUGACCAUGUGGAUCGAGACCUAAACUUUGUCGAAAAUAGGUGAAUUUUGUUGCAUAACCGUAUUUAACUAUACUGAUCACAUCAAACGGUAGAAAUUUAAUUUGGUGAAAUUUAGUCAUUGGAACCCCAACGUGUCUACUAAUGUGGUAUAAUUUGUUUAGUAAGUUUUGUGUAAAAGUUCAUAUUUAUGAAAAACUAUAUAUUGCAAAUAAAAUUUUGAAAAAUCGGCCGUAAGAUGUGAUAGGUAUAGUGGAAUACGACUAUUGUAGAAAAAUCACAUAUUUUUGUUAACGUUUGGACCCCGAUCAAUGCGGUCAACCCUAUUUACACUUAUUCUUUCUUAUGGAGGGAUAUCUUUAGGAGGUAAACUUUUCUAAAUUUUACAUGGGCUGCUACGUCUCAUCUACGUGAGAGGGUUUGUACAAAAGAGUUGACCGAACAAUAACAAGAUAGGUAAGAGCGUUUUGAUAUGAUAAACGAUGUGGAUCGAUGUAAUACCCCGUACAUAUGUAUGACCACUAUAAGAUACUUUUGACUUUUUCAGUAAGUUAGAAUGAGUUACUAUUUCCUAUGGUUCAGAGAAUGAGUUACUAUUUCGGAUUGACCGGUUCAUUUUUCUAAACUUUUUGAUAAUUUCAGUUACUAUUUUCUGAUUUUAUCCCAUCGUUUAAUCCUGACCCUCCAUUUCCCUCAUUUAAUCUGGACCAUUGUCCAAGCUAUUUAAGGGAAAGAGAGGUCAGUGAGUCAGUCUCUCUCUCAAACCCUAGCUAGUUCUAGCGGGAGAGAGAAGCAGAGGCGCAGCCGCACAGGCUGCCAGUCACUCCGCCGCCGUCGAGCUGCCACUUGACGAUCGACGACCACCAUUCUACUCGUCUCUCUCCCCUUUUUCUAUCCCUGCCACCGAAUCCAACAUGUAACCACCACCAAUAGAUCGAAUUAGAAAACCCUAAAUUCCCAUUCCCAAUUCCAUCUCCGGCAAGUUCUUGCUUCCCAAUUGUUCCAAGACAAUAUCUCGGCAAAGGGAUGCACGGGAGUUGUAUCUUGUAUGGUUCUUCUUCAAAUAACACAGUUUGCUACGGAAUAUAAAUAUAAUGUAGGUGUAGUUUGUCCAUUCCACAUACAUCAGUUUACAGGAGUCAAUCGUUUGAAUGCUUUUGCGUCUACAAGCCGAAGCCGCCUCACCCCCUUCAGAAGCAGAAGUGGGGAAGAUCACUAUGGCACUGGUUACUCUUUCUGCCUAAAUUUGCAACACCAGGAAGUAGAGGAGUAAAAGAAACACAAAUGUUGUUGAUUUCCUAGUUGUUUUGAUAAUUACCUUAAAAUGGUAUAUUUUGUACUGGACUACGGCUUCAUAUUCAUAUUGCCUUGUUUGAAUUGAUGAAAUGUCAUAACUCAUAACUCACCUUGUUAUGGAUUGAAUAUCCAUAUGAACAUAUUUUGUGAAAGGAGAGUUGAUGAAUUUUGUGUGCUGGGGGUGUGAAUGGCUUGGAUAUUUUUGUGAAUGGCCAAUCUUAUUACAUUCAAGUCUCAGUUUAAACCAAGUAUAACAGUUUAUCAAAUAGAAUAAAGUCUACUGUACAUAUUUUGUUAGAAGUAAACAAAACGAUAUAAUGGAUCUUUGUGCAUACUUUGAAGAAGUUCCAGCAAUUUCUAAUUCCAUGGCAAUGUCCAAAGACCAUACGAGUGCCUAAGAAAAAAACCAAAUGUAUUAAUUCCAGAAUUUCUGUUUGUAAAUUGCACCAAUACUCCAAAAAAGUUUUAUCAAUAAUUAAAACACAAACUUGACAAAANNNNNNNNNNNNNNNNNNNNUAUGUACACCUCCACUAUACACUAAAAACCGAAAAUGCAACACUUUUCCAAACACCAUCACACACGGGAUUUUCUCUUGCGAUGGCUGCAACAUUUCCAUCUGUUGGGAGGCUUCUCGUGGAUCAUGCCUGUCGCUCUGCCACAUUCAGGGGCAACUACUUCAGUUGCAACUGCGUUCAUUAUCAACAUUGUUUGUAUGCAAGUACAAUAGCAGAGUUAUUAUUCCCAAUGUAAUUUCUUUGUACCCCAAAGAAAGUAGGCAAGAACCAUGAGUCAUCUCAAGUUAAGAUUACAGCCCUAUAAUGUAUGUGCAAUAAUAGCUUAGAAGAAAUUGGCACGGAUAAUACAUUCGCAUACCGUCGAAGAAAUUGAGAUUGUAGGGCAAAGACAUUGGAUAUCCUCAAGGGACACCCCAAAAUCCCCACCACUGUGGGCAACCUCUUUCCUGAAUUAAUCAAUUAAUGCACUGGUCAAAAACAAUGAUGCUUUUCUGCAGUCACAAUAUCAUCCAAAAAUGAAAUGAAUUAUUGAAAGCAGAUGCACAGAAACUUCAUAUCGCAUUGAUUGACCAACUUAAAAUCCUAAAUACAGGUAACAAAACUUAUAAUGUCUUUACUAACCUGGACUCAUGUCCUCCUCUCCUUGGCUUCUUAAAUAAGAACUUUAAGACCUUAGAAUCCUUCCGUGAUAUCUUUCCGAUCAAAGGUAAAUUUCUUGUUUCUGUUUAUACGUUUAGCCUCUUCCAUUGCGUCUACUUUUUCCAUUUCCUUUGUCUGUCUCCCUCUUAUCUGCCAAAUGGUCAAUCUGUUAAACGGUUCAGUAUCAAUAGGUCAUAUAUCACUAAAGCCAUUUUAGUAACUAGCAAUGUUUUAACAUGUUACCUCGUUUGCAAGGAUUUCCCCACAGAUUCGGUGCUUUCCACCGCUGUCCAAUGUUAUUGGGGGGUUGAGACUAAAAUUCUGUUUUUGUGACUCCUUGAGAAUGUCAGCCACCAAUUCCAGGAUUAAUGUGGAAUCCAGGACUACCAUGAGUCAAUUCAUUGGUCUUGCCUUUCCUGGUAGCGAACCUUUCUCUGAGUUUUCUUCUCUUAUUUCUUCCGCUAGAGUCGCCACUUGAGGCCUCAUCUCAUUUGACGCCAUCACCAACAUGCGUAUAUAUUAUCUCAUUACAUCAGACUAAAUAUCAUGAUAUCACAAAUUUAUAAUCAAAUCAGGUAUAUAGAGGUAUAAACAAGACAACUAAAAACAACAUGAAUUAAAUGCAGCUAAACUGCUAAACAAAUAACAAAUCUAGAAGAAGACGCAUAUGAGAUGAUUAAAAGGUAUUUGAUUAUAAAGACCCAGCUAAUCAACAUAUCUACAUGCAGCUAAACAUGGAAGGUAAUUAAAAUUCAUAAACUAAGCAUCAAUCUAAAUACAUAGACGUAGUACCAUCAAAAAGUCUUCUAACCCAGUCAAACCCAGACUCUUGAAUUAGAAAAAAAAAAAUACUUCCAGUUCAACUCCAACAAACCAAUUCAACCCAACAUUCAAAUAAUAGUAAUAAUCAGGGAGAGAAGAAUAACUUAGUCUUACAACUGAAGAGAGUAAGAGAGGCGCGAGCCACUGAAUGGGAGAGUUCAAGAACAAUGCAAAAUCUGAAAAAUUGAAUGUCAAUUUAACUCUGAAAAUCUAGAUUAAGUAGUGAAACUGAGAGAAAAUUUGCGUGGGAGUACUCCCCUUGAAAACAAGUUUAAUAUUUAACCUUCUUACCUCUCUCUCUCUCUUUGUGGGGGAACGAAUGGUGGGUUCGUUCUCUUGAAGCUUGGAAUGGAUGUACUUGAUCACAAUCGGAGCAAAUGACUGCAAUUCUCGAUCGGAACAGCAAUUUGUAGUCGGUGCAGAUUUCACGGUGAGAGAAAUCGGAGCCCUGGCCGGAUUCGGAUACCCUGUGUGGGUUUUUGAGGUUUGAAUCGGAGACUUCGAAUCUCUUCGUCGGAGCCGUCGUGGGAUUAGGUCAGAGAGCAAGAAUGGAUUUUCUUUUUAGGUAUGGCUCGACUGUCUGCCUCCCACAGUGAUAUAAGGUAAUUUCGUUUUUACUGCAGGUUUUUUUUUUUCGUCUGCAUCUGACUAACCAACGGAAUCUCUCCGUCUUAACAACUUCUGCUAACAGACGUUAGACCUAUGUGAACGGUUCAAGUGCACGUAGGUGCCCUGAAUCCGCUCCGUGCUCCAAGACAUAAUGAUGCAGUCUAUGAUUUAGUACAUGCAUCUUUGAAAACCACUUAUCAUUUAAUGCAUUUACAUCUUACCAACUUUGAAAACCACUAACCACUCGUAUUGCAAAAUGUAUCAAAGGAUGACCACUCAUAUUGUAAAGUGUAUCUAAUGGCAAAAAGUAUCAAACGCCAAACCAUGGUCCGCAUCAAUCGGUGAGACAAAAUUACUCUUGAAAUUAGGCUAUAAAAGCACCACAGAGAUCCUGAGAAAAUCACACAUUCAAUCUCUCUUCUCCUUUAUCUUAAAGAGCCAGUCUAUCUCUUCUCGCUAGUUUGGAUAUGGUGAAAGUUGGUCUUGUAAUAUCUGAAGCCAAAUGCAGAGAUGAAGAUGAAGACCGUGUCUGUAUCAGAGAGACUCAAUUCAUCGAAUCAAUGAUUUACCAGAGGUAGAUUUCUUUAUCAAAAGAUCUUUUUCCAACAAUCUUUUUUGAAUGUAUAAACUGUGUUGCUAGGGUUUUUCAUGAUUCUUUGUUAUUUAUUACUGUGCUUUGUUGAAGUUGCAAUAUAGUACUUUGUUUCAACUUUCAUCGUAUAUAGAAAGAUCGAGAGAUUGCAUAACAUAAUACAAAUUUAUCAUUCUGGUUCCAAUAUAUAUCAGCCUUUUAUCCUGUUUUUAUUGGAUUUUUAACUUUUUUCUUCUUCUUCUUCUUCUUCUUUUUGUGUUCAGUUGAGAUCUGUAUCCACUAGGUCAGAAUGGCCGCUGCAGAUUCUUGUCCUUUUCUGUCAAGGACGUCCUCUCCCCCAGACAACGUGGGAUGAGUGCCUUCAUUUGGGCAACGGGUGUUUUCUUUCUUUUGGUUUUGUUGCACUAUCAGUCGCAGACUCUGUAGACAUGCUUAGAGAGCUUUUGCUUGGAGUUCCUCGACCGCAGUCAAUUCAAAGAUUCAAACGCGUCUCUAAACAUUGGCACUCAGUUAUCUCCGACUCAUACUUUAUUAACAAGUACACCAAAAGAAACUCACCAGAUUAAGGCACCAAAGGGAUAGGGAUUAGUGAAGAUUAUAGAAACAAAAGAGUCAUCAGCAUCCAAAGAAGGAGCUGAAGGCUUUAAGUAAGGCACUGAGGGAGCGUUUAAUUAAGGAGCUGAUGUAAGGACAAUAGAGAAACCUCAACACCAUUUCCCAAGCACCGGAUCAAUGAUCUACCAGAAUUAUAGAUUUUAGGGUUAGUUUUAGGGCUGAUUGUAUGAGCCUCGGUUUGGUAUAUGUAAAUAUAUAUGCGACUGUAAUCCAAUAUUUAAUCAAUGGAAGUAUUGCUUUUCUUUCUUCACUGGCAUUGUUCAAUUUUACAUUUUCCCUAUAUUUGAGUGCCGGUCGUAGUUCUUCAAGUAUCAUCAACUCUUGUCUUAUUUUCACAAAUUAAGAGCAGACGACAAAAUUGAAGAUAUUGAGUAUCCUGUGUGCUUGAGUACUUGACUAGCCUUCAUUCUAGCAAGUAUUAUAUCGAUCUCUCCUGCCUUUAGAUUUUGUUCUUUAUAUACCAUGCAUGAAAUAUGAAAAUGUGAACAUUAAUUGUAUUAUUAUCUUCAUCUGACAAUGUGAAGGAUCGAUUGAUCUCAAGUUCUAAUUAAGUGAAUUCCUUCCUGAAAACAUUGUGUUCUGUAAAUUAUGAUGUUAAAUUUGUGUUUAUUCAGUUCUUCCUGAGGUUUUAAAUUGUUUAACUUGAGAAUUUCUGCAAGAUAGUGAACAGUUUGCCGCAUAUCUUUCUCAAAGGCAAACCUACAAGUGUGAGAGAAGUGGUGAUUUCUUGUUAGUAAAUGUGGUUUGUAUACUUUUAGCUUUAACAUCUAUUGCCAGUGGUAAUUGAAUUCGAGCCCUUUCCGGUUUAGUGUUUCAACUUAUUUCAAUACAACUCUUUUAUUAAUAUACAUCUUUUGUCUUUGCAUUUGUCGUACUCUUUUAUUAAUAUACAUAAUGUAGGGCUUGGGAAUGGGUUUGGGCUUAUGGGCCUAGGUCUAGAAUCAAGCCCACAAAAAGUCAGUAUUGGAAUUGGGUUGUUGAGCCUGAUUUCAAACUAACUCUGACUUAAACUGCAGUGUCGAGAUAGCUUGGCAGACUGUGCAAGCUAGCUGUAGUUAGAUAGAUUCAUGAAGCUUGGAGUACCGCAAUUGAGCGCCUUAGCUCUAGUUUUAUGUUUCUCUGGUAUCUGGAUUUGUAUCUAGUUUAAUCCUCUGCUAAACUCAUUUAUUCGGUGUUUUGAUGUCAUUCUGGCCUGAGUUUAUUGAUGAAAUUUCUGGGGCUUUUCCUUCAAAAAUACAUCAUGUAAAUCCUCCACUGAUCUCAGCUCUAGGUAUUGAAAUUUAUUUGUUGAUAAUUCCUAUUCGAAUUUCCUUCAAAGUCCAAGCAUGUGAAAUAAAUUUACUUUUAGGGAAGAACACGCACCUUCAAAGAAGAUCAAAGCGAUAUUAAUGGGUUACUAGACUACUUUAGUAGGAUGUCGACUCUAUGAAUGUUAUUUUCUGUUGGGGAGUUCCACAUUUUCAAUUCAAAUAGUGCUGUAAGUGAUUUUAUCGAAGAAAAACCUCUCUCUCUCUCNNNNNNNNNNNNNNNNNNNNCUCUCUCUCUCUCUCUCUCUCUCUCUCUCUCUCUCUCUCUCUCUCUCUCUCUCUCUCUCUCUACUAUUUAGAGUUGUGCGGGCGUUACAAUCUCUAUAUAAAGUAGUGAAAAAUCAAUCUAUUAGGUAUCACGCAUAUAUUUUACAUUUUCUCGUCUUCAUCUCCUGCAAGUUCCAUUAUAUCAAACUUGCGCGCAUUUCUUUAUGCAGGUUAAUAAACAUAACCUAAACAUAAGUAUCAGUGUUUCCUUGAUUGAUGUUUAAUGGGACUUUUUCUAUUUUCAUUUGUAGUUAUCGAUAUGUUCAUUUGGUACUUUCCUCCCUUGCAAGAGUGUUCAUCAUUGGCCCUAGGUGUUUAUUUCCAGGGAAUGUAUUCUCCAAAAAUGGUCUAACAGCAUUUUUGUAAUUAAUCUUCAGCUGCUACUAUUGUCAUUCAAGUUAAUGUUUCAUUUGCUUGUUAUUGUCCUCUCUAGUUCUAUUCUACUCAUGUUGUUCUCUCUGUGUCCAUAGAAUGACUAUGCAGGUGUGUACAACUGAAGCCUUUAAGUAUAUGUCAUAUAUAUAGACCGGCCUUCCUACCGGACUUCCUUUGCUACCACCAGCGACCUUUAAGUAUAUGUCGAAGUUUUGUAUUGGUUAACGAUCACUAAUCCUAGUGAAUGUGCAUUAUUGUUUUAACAUUAUGCAAUGCUGAACUUGUUGCACAGGAUUAACAUGCAAGUUAGUCUAAAUCAAUAGUUAACUUCUGUGGCAGUCUGGCACAGAUUGUGGAAAACAAUAGUUGCCCAGGAAAAGUGCACAUUCACUACUAGAGGGUACAUGCUUAAGUAUGAAGAUAGUGCUCAUGUGUUCUGUGACUGACCAAUUGCUGCUGAUAUUAUCUCAGCCCCUCCAUGAAAUAUGAAGUUUGUACGUCUUUUAUGUAUUUUCGUUGUAUGUCCAAAGCAUGAAUUUAUCAAUUCAAUCUCAAAAAAAAAGCUCACCAAGUUGGUGUUCCUAGAAGACUUGGGUAUCUUCAUGUACAUGCCAUAAUACUUGGCCAGGGAGGGUUCAUUCAAGCAGACAAAUAUAUAGAUUAAUAGAUAGCUUUCAAAGAUGACUUUUUGAAUUUGUGGGAGGCAUCCCGCGACCAGUAAUUUAACUCGAACAUGAUUCCCUUGAGCACAGUCAAGAUUUGUUAAUGUCAAUCCCUUCAGCACAGAUGAGAUCCCUAUUGCCCUUCAAUUUAGUUAAUAGGAUUUAUGUCUCUUUACUGUAACUAAACAAAAGAGAGCAACCAACAUAUACUAUAUAGAAAUUCUGGUUCAAGUUUGAGCUUCUUAACUGCCAUGACAUUCAACACAGAGACUAUACUUUAUAGUCUAUACUCUAUACCAUAAAUUUGAACUUACCUAUGCUUUGGGAAAGUCAAUAGAAAGAGUAUAUACAAGAUAUCAGUGUUUGAGAAAUGUAAGACAGAGGUGUUACAUUUGCCUACAACUCAUCCACUACCACAGGUAGAAAGAAAACUAAGGUUGCAACAGAGAAAAUGUAGCUAAACUUAAACAUAUGUAAGUUUAUCGGUCUUAUUCCAAAUUCAAGUUGCAAGGAUUCUUGUAUUUGGUUACCUUCUACUUCUGGAAUUUUCUCUACAGCUUCUACGAUGGAUCAGAUUCGGAUUCAUCAUCCUGUUGUUGAUUGGGCAAAGAUUGUGUGGUUUACCAAUAAUAUUCCUAGAGCCAGUUUCAUUCUUUGGUUGGCUGUUCAUGGUAAGCUUGCUACUCUUGACAGGAUCACUACUUAUUCUCCUCAAAUUAAUUAGUUCUCUAUGCCCUCUUUGUGGUCUAGUUCCAGAAAAUAUCAAUCAUCUUUUCUUUGCUUGCUCUUUCUCGCUGCAUGUUUGGAAAAGUGUUCUUUGUUCUUGUGGUGCCUUGGUUGAACCCCCCUUGGCCUUUAUUUAUUGAAUGGGCUUCUUCUCGGUGGGGAGGUAAGUCUCUCUCUUCUACCAUCAAGAAACUCGGUCUUUCUGUUACUGUUUACCUCAUUUGGAAAGAGAGGAAUAAUCGUAUCUUUAGAAAUGAAAGAUGUGCUGUGGUUCUCAAGAAUAUUAUUUCCAUGAUCAGAUGUAGGCUCAUUUCCAUCAAGUUUAAGCCAUCCAUUACUGAUAGAUAUAUUGCUGGAAAGUGGAGCUUAGAUACCUCUUAGUUUUUCUUCUUUGUUCCUUUUUUAGGUUUUGUUUUGCUUUCUUUUGGUUAGCUUGGUUUUUGUUGUUCUGUAGCUUCUUUGCCUUUGGCUUCGGUUGUACUGGGCUUGCCCUCUCUUUUUUCUUUUAAUAUACUCGUUUAUUUACCAAAAAAAAAUUAGUAUUUUACCACCCUUUUGAACCUCUUCAGAAGCAAAUGGCUGUGUCCGGACUCCUAAGCUAUAUAUGUUUUCUGGUCUUUCUGUGCCGGCAGUCCAUGCCACAUGGGGAAAAAUUCAAUCAGUUAAUUUGUUGAGACUCUUUUGCGAUUUGCUUUUGAGGGUCGAGACAUUUUGCAGUUAUUGUCUGCGAUCUUAGAUUUUCCACCCUCCUAUUAGAUACUUCGGCCAUCUCCCAAAGUUCAACCUCAUUGCUUAGUGAGAUUACUAAAUCACACAAUAGAGAACCAAAACUCUUUUCCUACGGUGUGCUGUUUCUUUCUAGAAUAUGAACCGGAGACAUAUAAUUGCCAUGGAGCUUUACCAACGAAUAUACCAGAGGUUGGAUUCUACCUUAUUCCCGAAGGUACUCUUAAAUGGUAAGCUCAGAGAUUUCAGGAUGAGAGUUUCAGAUGCACAAUUGGUGCAUGAGGCUUUAUAUUUUCUCCCAACCACAUUCAGUAAACUACCUACAAUGCUCUUGCAACCAAAUGGACUGUGAAUAAGCUUAUCUCCGUGUGUGUGGAUGAGGAAAAUAGAAUUCGUAUUGAGGCUAGACCAUCUACUGCAGUCAACUUGGUGGUUUGCUUAACCUUGUUCUUAUUCUUCUUCUUCCACUUUUUCCACCAAGUUGACUGCAGUAUAUGGUCUAGCCUCAUUACGAAAUCUAUUUCCUUCAUCCACACACAUAGAGACAUGCUUGUUCAUAGUCCAUUUGGUCUCAAGGGCAUUGUAGGUAGUUCUCAGGUUACUGACUGUGGUUGGGAUCGGAGAGAAUAUAAAGCCUCAUGCACCAGUUGUGCAUCUGAAACUCCCAUCCUCAAAUCUCUGAGCGUACCAUUUAGGAGUACCUUAUGCAUAAUAUGCUCCCUAACACUCCUAGCUCCAUCAUAUACUUAAGUUCCUGGAACUCCUUAUUAAGCCUAGCACCUUCAGCCUUCUCACUUUCCUCAAAUUUCUCAGCAAUAGCAGCCAUGUAGUCUACUGCAUCAUCAGGUUCCUCUACAGACCCUCUCACAAUCUUAGACAUAGUCCACCUAAUCACACUUUUUGCCAUCCUAUUGGUCCUAUGCCAUUCAUAGUAAUGCCAUGAGUCAUCUGUGGAGCUAUUUUCUUUUAACUCUCCUUCAAGUUUAGGAUUUAACAAACAGUAAUAUAUGUUCUGAUGCAUCCCAUGUAGAAUUCUUUAUCAUUUCUCCACCUCCUAAAGUUAUAGAAUCACAGUCAUAACCAAUCAUGACUGUAUUUUGGGAUUUGAUUAUGGGCCUAGAACUUAAAACAAAAGGAUCCUUGUAAAAACAGAUUAAGCAUGCUUUUAAGCCUGUUGAUUAAGUUUUGGUUUAAAGAAAAUAUUUUUCAAAAAACCUGUUCUUGACUGAAAACCAAAAAACUUUUGCGAUUUGUGAUUUUGUAAAAUUCCUGCAGCUCUGAUACCAUUAUUAGAUGGUAAUCAGAAUCCUAACAACCAUCUAAUAACUUUAUUUUGAAUCUAUUUACAACAUCACAAACACAAAAUUAUGAAGAACAAGAACAUUCUGUAUAUUUAGAGUUUUCUUGGAAUAACCAGGAACAUACCUUAGUUCGACCUCCAAUCUGCCUUUGACUGCUAUCUUCAAUGAUAACACCAUUGUGAUGAACUUCUGAAUUGGCUGCACAGACGAACAAGAGAUGGAUACAGGUCUUCUGUGUUUCUGUAUCAAGCAGCACUAUGGCCUAUGGGAAUGCCAAACUCAAUCCAAAAGCGAUAAAGAACACAGGGACCUAGCCUCCUUUAUAUAAUGAUCAAAAUUGAAUUCAAUCCUAUAACUGAAUCCUUAUUCAACUCAAGGUUAACAUCUGAAUAGGCCUUAUUCAAUCACAAUACAUAUAUCAUACUUCUUGUUGAAUGAAUCCAUAUCCUAUCUUCAAGUCUUAGACUGUGUUUGAGUCCAAAAUUAUUCUUACACCAAAUACCAUUUACUUCUAUGAAACUCCUCCUUACUCCUCCCGAAAUGUCUACAAGGAUGUGAUAAAAGGAGACUUGCAGCGUGCAGUUGCAACCUCAUUAUGCAAAACACCAUUUUCAAUUCAUAUCAGAAAUUAAAAUCCUGGUAUAGACAGGAUAAUGCAUGCUUAUCUUCAGCACUUUAUACAUGAAGAGGGAGCAUAAACAUGUUGAGCUUUGAACUUGAUGUUCAAAGAGAAAAUUCGAAAAACACUCAUUUAGGGUAUUGUGUUUCUGCAAGAUAAGCAAAUGAAGAUGGUCACUUCAAUGACUUGCCUAUAUUAUGGAAGGUGUUCCUUUUGUGGUUUUGCCGAUGUAGCAGCUGGUGCUAGGGGGGGUGACUCUUCCCGUUUGGUUUAUGAUUCACCUAAUUUCCUAAAUCGGAAUUCACGAGAGGUCUUCAUAUGCAUAUUUUCUCUGUUUUGAAAACCAAAGAUAUAGUCGAUAAACUGUGGUUCUCUAGUUAUUUACCUGGGGACUCGAUUACCAGUUCCAGUAGAGGAAUGGGAGAGAAUGAAACCAUCUUAAUCUUUUUCCUUUGCUUCAGCUGUUGGUCAGUAAAUCACAGAACGGCAACCGUCUUUAGUUGGUAUCAUACAACCAACAUGUUCCUCAGACAGGAAGGGUGCAAAGAAUGCAUCAGGGUGAACUCACACGAAACCAACAUGUACCUCAGACGAGAAAUUCAAAAGGGUGCAAAGAAUGCAUCAAGGUGAACUCACACAAAACCAAAAUUUCUAUAUUCAACUAUAAAAUGUGGCAUUGAUGUGAAUGCAAUCACUUAUGUACUAUAAAGAACAUAUGUUCAGAACAAUUAUGUACAUAAUAAGCUAUAUGAACGAAAUGAACAAUUAUCAUAAAGAACAUGGUUUUAUCAUGAUUUAGUAACACCAUCUUCAUCAUCAUCUUCGAUAUCCCAGCUCAAAUCCUCCUCUUCCUCUGCAGCACUAAGCCUCUUAUGCAAAUCGACUCUACUUGUGCUCCCAACACCCUCCCCCUUCUUCUCAUCACUGCUCCCAAUAUCUUCAAUCUCAUCCCACCCUAGAUCUUCUUCUCCCGGCAUCGAGGGCUGGCUCGAAAUAAUCGAGAUAUCACUCUCUUUGCAAGAAUCCGAUUUCACCUCCGACUUGUCACUGCUUACAGACUGCCUCGGCACAAUUUCAACACCCGCAGCAUCAUCAGACUCUCUCACCACUACACCACUAUGUUCUCCCUUCUCCAACUCCACACUCCCACUAGGGCCAGAAACCUUCUUCUCUUCCUCCUCCUCCUCUACAUCGUCAUCGAAAUCCCAACUCAAAUCCUCUUCCUCACCGGAUAUGGCACGCUUCACAAGCUUAUCUCUAGCAUCCUCCACUUCCUUCAACUUAUACACCCUAUAAAAGUACCUACUCCAGAAGCUCCCAUCAUCGACCUUACCAGGCACAAUCUCCUCAUGAAUCUCACCAAUCACUCCAUUCUCCCUCAUCAAAUUCGCAAUCUCCUCGGCUUUCGCCUCCAUCACAAACCCUAAUUUCCACUCCCUAUAGCUCUCCGAAUCCUCCGGCUCCUCCAAGUAAGUACUCACACUACUCUGAAUCGCCCUAACCUGAGCUUCAAACCUACUAUACUUCCUCAAACCACUACCACUACUACUCAAUCUCCUAUCAUUAUUUUCAGAGUUACUAUUAUUAUUAUCAGAUUCAACAUCAUCAAUCUUAAUAGCUUCCCUACCGUGAGAGAUGAUCUCCGCCGUCGACUUCCACACCGUGCUCCCGAUGUCGUCGAUCGCCUGCCCCACCGACUCUAGCGACACCUGAGCCACUGACGCGCCGACAUCGAGCGAAGCAGGGAGCUCCUUCACGGCGCGUGAGGCCACAUCCCGGAUCACCGCCGUCUCCUUCUUCAGCCCGGAGCCGAGCUCCGCCAGAUCGCGGCGGUAGGUCUGCAGCACCGACUCGGACUUGGUCGCGAGGGUCGUCAUCAGACCUCCGAAGCUCCACGCCCCGGUGGUAUGGGAGUUCGAGUCCGGAGUUUGCUCCGGGUCGGGGCUGGCGACGUCUUCGGUUUGGGAGAGGGAGGUUGAGUCGUCAUCGGAGGGAUCGGGAUCGUCGGAGAAGACGGACUUGAAGAAAUCCAUGAUAUCGGAAUAAAAGGCCGGCGGUGGGGAUCAGAGUCCAAGAUGAGUCGGGAGUCCUCGAAUUCCUUAUCAAUCGUAUAUAUAGGCACGUUUUGGUGCCGUAACGAGAAAUAAAUAUUUCCUUUUGAUUUUGAUUUUGAUUUUCCAAUAAUUGAUUACGAUUUAAGUUAAGAACAUAUUUAAUAGAUAGACUAAAAAGAAAUUAAAGUGAUUGCACCUAUCUUUGUCUAUAUGUCCAUAUUAGUGUCAAUUGGUUUCUUUCUUGGGGCUAAGGAUUUAAUACACAUGGAAAUGUGUUAAUAUUUCCUUUGAAAAGCUAGUUGGAAUAAUCUCUACUUCAUUAAUGAAACGAAAUAAAGCUAUUAACGAAAAAAAAAAAAUAGUAAUAGAAUAUCCUAAAAGGGUCGGGAAGUUGGGCACCAUGGCGGUCAAUUUAAUUUACGCAAAUGGGUAAAUGUUUUUUAGUUUAUGAGAUUGUUAGCAGUCAAGACUCGAAAGUAGAUGUCGGUUUAAGUUGUCAUUUUGUAAAAAGAGUCGCUUGUUUUCCUUUUUUUUUAAAAAAAAUUAGUCGCUAUGGUCUAUAGGGUUCGUUACAACCAUAUCUCGAUGUAACAAUGUUGGGUAUGAACCUCUCAUUCUAAGUAGUCCUUCACAUAUGAACUGUAAUGCACCAGUUGAAAUGAUUUAACGACUCUUCUCAAAUUUUGAAUUACUUCAAUUUGAAGUAAGUUGGAAUUGUUGCCACAAACCCUAACUUGAUCCUUUUGAAGUAAACCUUAAAAUGUCACAAGUGAUUAUAUCUAAAAACGUUAAACCCUUGUGUGGAGGCUCCAAAAGAGUUUUUGGUUAUUCACAUCGAAGCAUUUGUCACAUUGAAUAGUAUCUUGUGAUCAACGGAAAUAAAGUAUCCUGGUUAAUUGAUCAUAACAUUAAGAAAAAGAGAAAUUUUAAAUACACACCUCUAAUCUCUUAAUACACACCUCUAUUAUUUUAUAUUUCACAUCAUAUUUUAUAUGUAUGUUUAAUUACAAAAACAUCCAUCAAUUACUAAGGAAAAAAAGAAACUUCAUCUUCCCUAAAACAUAACUCUCUUCACUAUGCAUCAAAAGAAAAGAAAUAAAAAACCUCUUCUCCAAAAUUCAUCACCUGAAUUUCGACUACUGUCGUAAUCACAUGUACUAUUUGCUGAUUCGUUUGAAUUUUUUUUAGUUUUAUCUUACAGACUAAAAACUAGUUUUUAUGCUAUUGUAAUUCUAUAAGUUUCUUAACUUUGAAAAAAUUAUGUAUGUUCAAUUAUUUUUAUUUUUUUUCAAAUUUUAACUGAUCAAAAAACUACAGAAAAUAAAGAGAAUACGUAAAGAGAGUUGUGAAUAGUAAAUAUAUAAUAAUUAUAUUAAAUAACAGAUUAUUAUUAGUUUUAGAUACUGAGAGUAUUUUAGGCAGUUUGAGAUGUGUAUUUAGUAUAAUAUUGAAAUGAAAAACUAGAUAGGUAGUAUAUUAAGUAAAUGGUGUGUAUUAAGAGAUUAGAGGUGUGUAUUUAAAAUUACUCUAAACUCUAAGAAAAAAAAGUGUGAUAUAUGAUAUAUCCGGUCUGAGUUGAUGUCUUCAGAUUUUCGAAAAAUACAUCAACCAUUUCUAGCGACCAAUUUGCCUUAAAAAUGGCACAUUUUGCCAACAAACCGUUCAUCCGAUAGUUAGCUUUACUGACAAACCUUCGUCUUCCGUCGGUAAAGCUCAUUUUCUGCAGGUUUCUCUGAAUCAUACUCCUAUAGUUCUAUAGAUUGUGGCCACCUGCAAGAACCAACCUUUGAUGUAGACAUGCAGUCCAUCUCACAUCAAAGUACAAAUUCUCAGGUCUGGUGGAUUUGUUUGAUCAAUCAAGUAAUGAAAAAUCUUCAAAUGGAAAAACCUGUGGAACAAGCAACUAUACAAUAUAAACUCAUACAGUGAUCAAAAUUACCCAAUAACAACCACACCACUUUUACAAUGUGUGUAUUGAAUAGAAUUUCCUUCUUUUCUUUUUUAAUUCAACAAGAUUACAAGGGGAUACAUAUCUUGAUACAUCCACUCCUGCUAGUGCAUUGAAACCAUCAUGUUCUAUGAGUUCCUUCUUUGUUCUCUCUUUUUUGUUUGGCAAACAGUGUUUGUCAGAAGAUCGUUACAAUAGAAGCAUUAAAAUUCGAACAUAGGACUUUGGAAGAAAGGCAACUAGGAGAUACAAACUAGUGUCCAAGAUUAGGUUGUUGGGUUACUAAUUCAAUUUCCUUGAUGAUUAGCUCCUUUUCCUCUUCAAAUUGGUCAUCUUCAUCACCUGCUCGAAAACCAUAAAUCAGCAACAAUAACAAGGACAUGAAAUUUAGAUUUUCAUAAUCUUUUGUGGAGCUCAAUCACAUUUCACUACAGCUGAUGAUGGCCAGAAAAAUAUCACCUUUUCCAGCAGAAAGAUUCUGGAGCAACUCUGUCAAUUUUUCAUGGUUCUUGGCCAGAAUAACCUUGACUUCUCGGGGCUUAUUAGGAUUAGCAACAAAGACCUGCUAAAAUAUAAAAAUUAAAUUAUAAAAAAGAGAAACAUGAGGAAACUAGAGAUAGUAUGGAUCUUGACAUUCAACUCAAACACAUCAUUCUCAUGACGGUUCAACUGAUAGCCACAAAGAAAUCCAUAUUCCAAGUUUCUAACCACACCCAUUCAGACAUACAAAAUACACAAAAAGAUGUGGAGAGAGUUAAAAUGAGGGGGGCCAGCACCUUGAAAAUGUGGAAGGCAGCGAUUUGGAUGUUUUUGCUUGAAUCCUGCUCAUAUUCAAUAGCAACAAUGAUAAAAAAAAAAAUGUGAGAGCACAAAAAAGCAACAGCAAAAACUUCAUUUUCCAAGGACACACGUUAAAACUUGAAAGCUGGUUUUUAUUCAGUGUUACAGUCUAAACAAAAACCUAAGUAUCAAAAAGUGAAUGUAUAGUAUCACCCAGUGGUUACAAACGUAAAUAGCACAGUGAUAGGAGUCAUAGAAUAACUAAAAGAAAAUACCUUCAGCAGCAUCAUCAUGACUUUCAAGAACCGAACUUCUAAAAUGUAGCAUUUCAUUAUAUGAGAAUUAGGAGGCUCCAAUAGGAAAUCCGUAAGAAGCUAAUCAACAAACAAUAUCUAUCAUUAGCAAAUGCAAUAGUUCAAAAGAAUUGCAGACCAAACUCAAAAAGUUUCUUGACCAUAACUGACCUUUAAAGACUGCCUCCUAGUCACGUAGUUAGGAGAUGUCAACAGUUUUUCAUACAGAUCGAAGAACUGGAACAAGAAAUUCUGAUCAGACAAGCUAAAAAUAUAAUGCACUACAAAUUUACAUAGACAAUAGUGAAGAAAGCUAUCUUCAAUGCCUACACCAUGCAGAUGUAAAAUUAAGGGGCUUAGAUUUAUUUUGUCCCCAGACUAACACAUAUUCAGAAUAUCAAACUGUCCUCCAAGAUCCAUCUUGGCAAAGAAAACAUCCUAGGUCUAGAAUAUCCGAUCAAGAAAAUCAUAUUAAAAGCCAAGCAGCAACACUCGCCACUGGCUAGACUAUUACAGAAAAAUAUAUAACGACAAAGUGUGAACCAACCUCAUCAUAGUGCGCGGUCAAAAAUUCAGAUACCACCGUUCCAUGUUUAGUAAGUAAAUCCUGCCAAGAACUAGCUCAGUGAUGUAUGAAAGAAAGAUAGGAACCUAAGAGUGUAAUACCAUUCAGAUAGGUACAACUUCAUAGAUGCUCGUAAAUCUCACCUUAAAGGUAGAAAAUGCAUCAGAAGCUACAUCAAAGUUAGGCAACUCCACAAAUUUGAAGAACAAAACGAAGCUUGCAGACUGCAAUAUGUAUCUGAAAAAUACUACAAAAAUCAAAAGUGUGAAAUAAAGAAACAUGCUUACCAACUAGAACAAGCAUAAACUUAAAAAGAGCAGAGGACGGUAUCAGCUAUUGUGAAAUCUGUUUACAGAAAAGAACCACAAGUUCAAAACGGGAGUUGGGUGGGUGGUAAGAUUUGAAUGAACCCACAUCCAAAAGCUGUGUUUAGGUUGACUUGGAUGAUUCAAACAUCUUUGCACAACGAAACAUGUACGUUUCAGCAAUCAUUCAAAAUCUUCUUCUCUUACCGAGAGUGGGUUCUUUUACAAAAAUAGAAUAAAAUGGCAUGGGAAGAGAAAUGAUGAAACGUCUUACUUUGCAAGAGUAGGGAAUCUGAUGCAAUCCCUCAACAUAGCUCCACAAUUCAAGGCAAUUUCCUUGUUAUCAUAGCUGUUUGAAAAAGAAUUGAUUAGUGCCAUGCAAAGUUAAACCAAUUGAAAAAGAAUGAUGACAAGUAUACAGCAUUAAAUCAAUUUUUCUGUAUCCUAUACUUGAGAACUCCUAUUCCAUAAGCUUUCUUGCAAGAACAUCAUCCUUACCCCAUCUUCCUAAUACAAACAACAUAAAUGCUACACGGGUCACACAGUGGCAUUCUGAAUGCAUUCCCUCUGGGAAACUCUAAAGAUUAAAGAAAGCCACACCAGUUCUCACAUAACUGAGAGAGAGAGAGAGAGAGAGAGAGAUCUAAUAUAUAGAGAUGAAACCUGAACAAACACAUGGAUGGAUAGAAAAAGCUUUUUACUUUAUACAGUAGUGCUGACAAAAACAAUACCAAACUCACCUCGCAACAAGAAAAUCUAGCAACUCAUAAUGGUUCUCAAUGUAUUGUUCGCAGCAAAAAGUGUCCUCAACCUUUUGCUUCAACAAGAUGGACCAACAAUGGACCAAAUCUUUUCUUGCCUGUAUUGAAGACACCAUGUCAUCUUGCGCAAUAAAUGUUUCAUAUAUGCCAGACAGCAUGAGAGAAAUGACCAUAACUUACUUCCCAUCCCAGUAUUGGUAACUUGUGAACUAGAAGAGCAAGAACAUCCUCCUUGCAUAUCUCGAACACAAGCUGUGAAACUUGUUCCGUAUUAGCUUCCGUCUCCCCAUCUCCGACAAGCAUACAUCUCAUAAUCCCGAAAUUCUUUUCCACCUCUUCCAACGCCUGUCACAAUAAGUAAAUCAUAUUCGUAAAUGAACUAUCCCUUCACAAUGAUUACAAUAUGUCUGCUCAACUCUCGACUUACCAAGCACUUCUAACCAUAAAUGUCAACACUCGAGACUAAACUAACUUGCUUGACAACAUCUACUUCAUACAUGCUAAACCACAUUACCCCACAGAGUAGUAUACAUUAAUUGAAUAUUAUGAAGCAACAAAUUGACAGCAAGAACACAACUUUAGGCAUCAGAAAUGUAAAUUGAGAUAAAAGAAUUGAAAUUGGGAGAGAAAGGCAAAUAAAGGAGGACCUUUUCGAGGGAUUUGACUUCGGCGACGGUCUGGGAGUCGAGGGCAGAGAGGCUGUCGCUGAUGGCCUUGGCGACCUCCUGUGGGGUUUUGGGCCUCGACGGCUUGAAGAACGAGAACGACAUGAUGAUCUGAUGGGAAUCAAAUUCCCUUCUCUCUCUCUCUCAAUCUCGCUCUUUUCUCUGAAAUGAAGAAAAUUUACAGCAAGCUUUGAGUUUGGUGUGAAGAACGAUGGUGGAAAAGAGCCCGUCUUUACUUUUUUGUCACCAGUGCGGAUCCAUUUACAGCAUCAAAUGCAGCUUCAAUCUCACUUUUUACACCUGCGUGUUUAUGUGAAGUGACACAAAUGGUUGCUAGAGAUACAAACAAAACAAAAAAACUUUGUUUUUAUGAAUUUAUCAACCUGUAAGUUGACCAGGUUGAACUUGAAGGAUAGGACAACGUGUCGACAGGAAGGACAAGUCGAAGAAAAAUAAUAUCCUGCUGAUCUCGAAGGACAGGACUAAUUUAAUCCAAAUCUGUUGAAAUGAGAUAGAAUAAUUUGGUUACCGGUUGAAAGGACACAAUAUUUGACAUUAUUUUUUAUAUUAGUUUUUAAUCCUUAGAUCUUAAUUAAUCAAAUGGUUGUAAUUAAAUGUGAGUAUGAUUCGGCAAGUGACGUAGAAAUUAUUUUAUUUUCAAUAAACAAUAAAUAAAUAAAUAAAUUUAGUUAAAUUUUUUUAAUAAAGAAUGUAAAAGAAAGAACUCCAUAAGAACAUGGCUGGUGUUCUUCAACGUGGAAAAGAAAUUCUCAGACGCGUGCCUUAGAGCCAAAGGGCUUUGAUUGAACUUCAAAUAAAGCACUAAAUUUGAGUUGAUAUCAAACCAAAAAUCCACAUCUCAUUACAAAAAGAGAAAAAUGAGAAUAAAAUUUGGAUUGGCCAUUAGGGUUUGCUAAGAAGUACAUAUAUAGUAUCAUGAACAAAUUGAUUUGAUUGCUUGUUAAAUGUAUUCAAUUAAGAACUGAUUUUGGUUGUUUAGAAACAAAUUAAGAUUAGAUCUGCAAUUGAAUUUGAUAUGACCCAAAUGGAAGUUUUCAUAAUUUGAAGAAACCUUUGUGCAAUGAACCUGUGAUUCUUUUUCAUGUUGAAGAUCGAACACCAGUGCCAUGUUCUUCUAGGAUUUUUUUCUUUUGUUUUCUUUACUAAAAAGAAACUUGUUUAACUAAAUUAUUUAUUAUUGUUUAUUAAAAAUAAAAUGAUUUCCACGUCACUUGCCAAAUCAUACUCACAUUUAAUUACAACCAUUUGAUUAACUAAGAUUUAAGGGUUAAAAACUAGUGUACAAAAUAAUGUCAAAUAUUAUGUCCCUUGAACCGGACCCUUUGGUUACUACUUACUAAGUAGGUAGAAUAAUUUUUUGCAGGCACAAGAAAGAAAGAUGAGCACCGUAACAAGCUACUGAAACUAGGUUAGAGUCAGAUCGGGUUUUAUAUAUUGAAUGACACAUUCGCCUUAUUAUUCUUUUGAAAGGAGAAAUAAAUUACAUUAAUGACAUGUUUACUUGGAAUCGAAAUAGGGCAUGAUAACGAGCCGAGCUUUAUUUCCUCUUCUUCUCGUCCAUACCAAUACGGAUUAGAGACAAUAAGAACGAAAAAAGUCAUGAAUCAGAAACAACUUGAAUGACAUGUUUUACUUAGAAUUGAAAUAUGUCAUAAAUUGAAGACAAUUGGACUGGAAGAAGUAUGAAUCUGAGACAACUAAAAUGGAAAAAAGUCACGAAUCAGAGAUAACUAAAAUGACAUGUUUACUCCUUAGAAUGUAAGUACUCUAUAAAUCAGAGACAGCUUGAUUUGUGCGAGCUUGAUUUGCAAAAUGAAUAUGUUAGACACCAACAUGUAUUUUGAAAAAAUAAAAUCGAAAAGAUAACUUAAUUAGAUUUAUCGGUUCAUAUUGGUGUUUUGGAUGUUCUAUCAAUGUGCACUUUGCGGUUUGCAUUGUCAAAGACAAGAAGACAAUUUCCCUCUCUAUCCGAUACGCGUGAUUUCUCCACAAAAAUAGUACCCGACCCGAUUCAUACCCGCCAAAACCCGACUCGAUUCAACAAAGUACCUUGCCAAAAAUGGUGGCAAAGUGAACAGAGGCAGUUACUCAGAAACCGCAGGGGUAUUCCCGCCAAUCCACACUCCCAGCUUAAACCGCCGGCUCCACCGAACCACCUCCUCACUAUAUAACCAAACCCAACACGCAUUUCUCCAUUUCCAAAUCCCAAAUCAACCCAAACCCGGAAAUCGAAACAUUCCGAUCAAACCAAAUGCGACGGAUGCGUGGCGGAGGAGGAGAUGACCGGAUCAACACGUGUCUCCCCGAAGAGCUCAUCGUCGAGAUCCUCCGGCGCCUCGACUCCAAGCCCAGCCACGACGCCUGCUCCCUCGUCUCCAAGCGCUGGCUCGCCCUCGAGCGCCUCAGCCGCACCACCCUCCGCAUCGGCGCCACCGGCAGCCCCGACGUCUAUGUCAACCUCCUCUCCCGCCGCUUCGUCAACGUCCGCCACGUCUUCGUUGACGAGCGCCUCAACAUUUCCCUCCCCGUUCACCUCGUAAUCUUCACUCUCUCAAUCCGAAAUCCCUAGAUUUCAAUUUCAAUUCGGAAAUCAUUUCCUUCUGACGAAACGAAACGUCGUCGUUUUUGGUUUUGUGGUUUUGAAGGGGAGCUUGGCGAGGAGGCGCGGGAAGAAGUCUUCGAGUUACAAUAAGAGCGAGGAGGAUGGGGUUGAGACUAAUAGCUUAUCCGACGCCGGCAUGGCUGCGCUAGGUGAAGGCUUUCCGAAGCUGGAGAAGCUGAGCCUCAUCUGGUGCUCUAAUGUCUCCAGCGUCGGAUUGACGUCGCUGGCUGAGAAGUGUAGGUUGCUGAAAUCAUUGGAUUUGCAGGUGAGUUUUUACUCCGGCAUUGUUCUUUAUUUAGUUUCGAGCUUAAUUUCAAUUCUUUUCGGCUUCGCAUUGUAUUAAUGUUCAAUUCUUGCUUCGAAUACUUGCAUUUGAUGUACUUUUUAUCGGGCAGGGGUGCUAUGUGGGAGAUCAGGGAGUGGCGGCUGUGGGAAAGUGUUGCAAGCAGCUUGAAGAUUUGAACUUGCAGUUUUGCGAGGGAUUGACAGAUGCUUGUUUGGUAGAGUUAGCCAGUGGUGUUGGGAAGUCGUUAAAGUCACUUGGCAUUGCGGCUUGUGUAAAGAUAACUGAUGUUGCUUUGGAAGCAGUGGGGUUGCACUGCAAGUCCCUUGAGAGCUUGUUGUUGGAUGCGGAGUCCAUCCACAACAAAGGGGUGCUUGCUGUGGUCCAUGGAUGUCCUGCUUUGAAAGUUUUGAAGUUACAGUGCAUAAAUGUCACAGAUGACGUUUUGAUAGCUGUGGGAACUUAUUGUUCGUCCAUGGAGUUUUUGGCUCUGUAUACCUUCCAGCGGUUUACUGAUAAGUUAGUACUCAUUAUUCCUUAUGAUUUAAACCUGAGUUCUUUAUUGGGAUAUAAUGCAACUGUGAAAAUUAAACAUGACUUUGUUAUGACAAGAUUUUUAACGAAAGAGUGCUGAAGCCCUACUUAAGUUUACUGUAAUUGCACUAAAUUCAUUUGAUAUGAACCAACCUGAACUGAAAAUUAUGGAGAUUUGAUGUUUUUCUUUUGUCACUUUAUCCGUUAAGUAACUCCGUUUCUACAAUGCAGAGAGUUACGUGCUAUUGGGAGUGGAUGUAAGAAGUUAAAAAAUCUUACUCUAAGUGACUGCUCCUUCCUGAGUGACAAGGCUUUGGAGUCAAUUGCAAUAGGCUGCAAGGAACUUACACAUCUUGAAGUGAAUGGGUGCCACAAUAUCGGAACUUUGGGUCUCGAAUCCAUAGGGAAAUCUUGCCCGUAUGUUCCUCUCACACUGAACUCAAAUUGGUAUUUUAGGUAGAAAUAUACGGAUGCUUUGAUUAGUUUUCUUUGAUAAUGUUGCAUGAAGAUGCUUGCAUGAAUGUUCAACAGUUGGUGCUGGAAAUUUAUUGAAGUCCAGUAGUUAUACCCUUAAAAAACCACACAUUCAUUUCAGUUGGGGAACUGUAGGGUUGUGUUUCUAAGUACAGUGAGGCACUUUGUUUUUACCAUGACUUCCAAAGACUUGAUCAUAAAUUUUGAAUUUUCUGUAAGGUUCUGCAGUAUUCUGCUUUAUCAUCAGAGUAAUUUCAUGCAUUCCAAUGGUAACACCUGGUCGCACUUUUUGUUGGUGUUUCUAAUAUAGCUGGUUAAUCCACAACUCUUGAAUGCGCAGGCGUCUUACUGAAUUAGCAUUGUUGUACUGCCAGAGGAUAGGUAACUUCGCACUUAGUGAGAUUGGACGAGGUUGUAAGUUUUUGCAAGCUCUUCACUUGGUAGAUUGCUCAAGUAUUGGAGAUGAAGCUAUUUGCAGUAUUGCUAAAGGCUGCCGGAAUUUAAAGAAACUUCAUAUUCGUCGAUGUUAUGAGGUACUGUCCCCCUUCCACUCACUUUGUGUUCAUACCCCUAAUCGCUGACAUCAUUUUCCUUUUGUUCACCACUUAUGGUAUUAAUCAUAUUGCCAAGAUGUCCAGUUACAUGUAGUUUUAGUACAUCUUUUUGCACUUUAGGUUGAGGGUUUGCUCAAGAAUUUUGAAGUUUAGAACAUAAAUUUGGUCCUGCACUUUAAUAAUAUUUCCUUUUGAAAGUGUAAUCAUUUACGGAGAAAGAUUUACGUGUAAGCAUUUCUUUUUAAUUAUCUUGCAUUGAAAGUUUUUAGCGGUUUACAUUUGACAAGUGUUUUUGUUCCCCUUUUCGUGGUCUAGAUUGGAAACAAGGGAGUUGUAGCAAUUGGAGAGCAUUGUAGGUCCCUAACCGACCUUAGCCUCCGAUUUUGUGACAGGUACAUUUUUUCUUUGCAACUUUUGUGCUUUCAUUCUUUAGUUAUUUCCGCACACUACUUCUUUUCAAAGUCUUUGUGUAUGUAUUUAUUGAAUGCUAGUCUAACAUUUUAUAUCAUAUUCUUUCUUUCUACUAUUAGAGUGGGGGAUGAGGCCCUUAUUGCUGUUAGUCAGUGUAGCUCCCUUCAAUAUCUAAAUGUCAGUGGCUGCCACCAAAUUGGUGAUGCUGGUUUGAUAGCUAUUGCAAGAGGUUGUGCAGAACUCACUUACCUAGAUGUAAGUGUCCUGCAGGUGUGUUCCCUUUCUUUAUCUCCUUCCAUCCUCCUUAUUACCUGCAUGCCCCACAUGUUCACGUGACAACUGUGCUAUGCUCUUUCAUGUAUCUUAUAUUUGGCUACUAGUGGUAUGAAAUGCCCAAUAAUAUGCUCCUUACCAUUUCAUGUGGAGGAGAAGUAUUUCUAAUUUACUUGUAUCUGAGGCCCUGGAAGCAUUUUAGUUAGAUCGUAACAGUAGAAGUCUUCCAUUCAUUUAUCGAUGCACACAAUAUAUAUGCAAGAUAAAUAUUUUGGAUGUGUCUUAUAUCCUCUUUCAACCUGACAUAUCAUUUUUUUUAUUCGCAAGAAUUUGGGCGAUAUGUCAUUGGCUGAAUUAGGUGAAGGCUGUCCAAACCUCAAGGACAUUGUUCUGUCACAUUGCCGUCAAAUAACAGAUGUUGGUUUAAACCAUCUUGUCAAAAACUGCACAAUGCUUUCAUCCUGUCACAUGGUUUAUUGCCAAGGUAUAACUUCUGCUGGAGUUGCCACCGUGGUUUCAAGCUGUCCCAACAUAAAAAAGGUCCUGGUUGAGAAGUGGAAGGUUAGCCAGAGGACCAAAAGGAGGGCCGGCUCUAUAAUUUCUUAUCUUUGUGUGGACCUAUGAAGUCCACUUAAAGUUAUGUACAUCCACUAUUCCACUGAAGCUGGCUUCCUGAAUCCAGAAUAUGAACAGGAAGAAAUGUAGAAGACAGGAGCCAAAUUCUCAUCUCCCAAGUAUCUGUAUAAAUUAUUUUUGUUGUAAUUUUUUCUUUCGAUGACACAUGUUCUUUGUUUGUAAAUCGAAAUAAAUGUUUGUAACUGUUGAGAGAAUUUUGUCAGUUGCCACGAAUAAAAUUAUUAUCUUUUCUUCAGCUAUGAAAGUCGAAUACCUUGUUGAAAGACUCCAUUUUCCCGUUUUGUUGUUUUUCGUUUUGUCCUGGACGCCAGACAUGUUGAAGAGGCAGCUACUCGAGCAGUAAUGAGUUUCCUUUUUGAAAUGCUGCAAUUGUACUGUCCAUUGCUCAUGUGGAGUCUUAGUAUAGCUAUGGAAUGGAAAGAUCUUCAAUACAUCUGUUCUUUCUCAAUCGGUUUUUACAUUGUUAUUAUAAGAACUCGGUUAAUGCUGACGAAUGGUUCAGAGUUCUUCAUAUGGUUCGGCAAAAAGAAGUGCAAUUUGCCAUUUGAAACUGAGCUUUGAAAUUCAAGCCUGUUAAUGAUUCACUUGGGUUAUAGUAAUUGAAUUAUAUUCUUUCAAGAGAAACUGGCAUUUACAAAGUAUCAGAUACAGAGCUGGAAACAAAUCUUAAAAGAAUCAAGAACGUAUAUUGCUAUCUUCUAAUAUUAGCAUUGACCCUCCAUGUUGAUCUAGGUUACAAGACUUGUUUCCAUUUUUCAAUAAACGGGAGGAGAUCUGUAAUAUGCUGGUACUGUGGCAGGAAAGAACAUCUGUCUGACCCCUUCACCCUUUAUAAUGGGCAAUAUGAUGCCUGAUGCACUCUAAUAAAGAAAGCCAGAAAGAUUUGUAUAAGCAGCCAGUUAUGUGUACAUGGAAAUGUGUAAUAGACAAACAUGUUGAUAAGAAAGUAGUGGAAAGGUUUUUGUUGCCAUACCAAGAUCAAUCGAAUUCCAAGCCACAUUCGUUUAGGUGAAGGGAACGGAAGCAUUAAGCGGCCGACACCAUAGAUGGCAACAGCAAAGAAAUGGAGAAACAAGUGCAGCGGACGAGGGUUAAGACCAGAGAGAAGAGAUACUGAUCCAUAUGAACAGAUGCCUCCAAAGCUCAAAUAGCCAAAACAAGCUUCCCGCAUUUCUUGUCUUGCUGGAUCGGGUGAUGCACAAAACACCUUGUACAAAGCACCUGCCAGUGUGUUUAUGGUAGAUGACACAGGCUGCAAAAUCAAGUACACUAUCAGUAAGGAGCCAAAAGGAAUGUCACAUUGUAACCCACAUUGGCAAAAAAAGACAUUUUAGUUAUGAGUUAUCCAAAUGGAUUGUUUACCUUGCGCAGUGUGUAGAAUGCUUCAAGGUAAUUGCAUAAAGCAGGUGCAUCAUUGAGAUCACGUAGGGGUCUAAGAAGAUCACGGAGAAGAACGAUGUCUGAAAGAGCACCAGUCAUUCCUCCUCCUGUUAAAGGAUGCCUCAUGUUGAACGCAUCACCUAAUAAAAUUGCACCAGGAGUAGGGACAGGAUUAGCAGCCAUGCUUCUGUUUUGCAUUGUCCUAAUGUUUCCCUUCUCUACUGCGGCCAUAAAAGCAUUGUGCAGCUGUGGGGGAAUCUGAAAUACAAGUAGACCUCAGAUUAGUUCAAUUCAGAUGGGUAUGUGUAUCAAAUUUAAUAAAGUCAAGAUACUUAUUGAAACAUACCUGAGGGGCCACAACAGUUUUCAGGUAUUUAGCCAUUUCACCACUAGCUACUGAAGGCACUUUUGUUCCAGGUACAUCCACCAAACAACGAACCUCGGUGCUACUGAUAGGAUAAAACAGGAUGGGUGGAUGAAGGGUCUCCCAAAAUAACAUGUCCAUGAUUUGCGUGUGGAAGGUCACAGUUCUCCAAGAUCAAACCAACAAAACAUGAGGGACUUUCAACCUGCAACAGUAACAAAUAACCAUAUUGGUCUCACGGAAGAACAAGCACUCUUGUGAUAAAUUUGAGUUCAAAGUUGUUGAGUUUCCAAAGGUUGGUAGUCUAUAGUUACCUUUGGUGCACUGAGAGACUUGCGCAGAUUUGAAAAGCAGCCAUCACACACGAUUGUCAGUGGAGNNNNNNNNNNNNNNNNNNNNNNNNNNNNNNNNNNNNNNNNNNNNNNNNNNNNNNNNNNNNNNNNNNNNNNNNNNNNNNNNNNNNNNNNNNNNNNNNNNNNNNNNNNNNNNNNNNNNNNNNNNNNNNNNNNNNNNNNNNNNNNNNNNNNNNNNNNNNNNNNNNNNNNNNNNNNNNNNNNNNNNNNNNNNNNNNNNNNNNNNNNNNNNNNNNNNNNNNNNNNNNNNNNNNNNNNNNNNNNNNNNNNNNNNNNNNNNNNNNNNNNNNNNNNNNNNNNNNNNNNNNNNNNNNNNNNNNNNNNNNNUCUUGUAAAUCACCCCUUUGAUAAUGCCUUUUUCUUCAAUUAGUGUUGUCACUGAUCCUUGUUCCAAUUUGACACUGCAAUGAAAAUACCAUGGGACAUGAGUAAGCGAUUGAAACUUGAAACUAAUUUUACCAGAUUAAACACACAAGAAUCCAUAAAUAAAAUUUUGUAAUAUAUAUAGUUAAAGGGAAAUGAUGAUUACUUUGAUAGAGUCGUUGCUUUUUCGCGCAUUCUUUGGAUGAAACGCCCAUUGUGGAAACUUCUCCCAGCCACAUCUGAACUAUAUUGUUCCAAGGGAUAAGUCAGUUUUGUAUCCUUGCCAUCUUUGUAAAGAGCAUAACCAAACACCUUCUGCGCAUCAAUUGACUCAUUUGCACAAUCUGCAGCCACAGAUAGAUAUUGAUUAAAACGGAAUGUCAGGCAACUUAGAGAAAUUUUAAAUACACACCCCUAAUCUCUUAAUACACACCCCUAUUAUUUUAUGUUUCUAUUGAGAUUUUAUAGGUAAGCUAAAUGACCAAAACAUACAUCUAUUAUUAAAAAAAAAAAAAUCAACGCUAGAAGUAUUCUUUUCAACGUCUCUACCCUAAAAUAGUCGAAAACACGUAUUCUCCCAUAACCCAAAUUCUUCUUCACAAUUCAUUUGGGUUUGUUUUUUUUUUUUUUUUUUUUUUUGUUAUCCGUAUCAGCUUUAGUUUGAUUUUACAGAUCAUAUUGUCAAGUACUAUAUCUUUAUCAGCUUUAGUUUGAUCUUAUAGAUCAUAUUGUCAAAUACUGCAUUUUUAUCAUGACAUGUUUUAUCGAAUAAUUAGUUAUUUAUGUUUAAUAGCUACUGUACUUCUACACUUGUACUAGUUUGUGAAUUUUGAAAACUUGUAUUGGUGAUUUGGAGUUGGGAUAUAAUAAUAAUCAUUUGAUUAUAAAUUGAACGAUGAUAACCACAAAUUUCUAGCAAAAAUUAGACGAAAUAAUAUGUAAAAAAGGUACCAAAUAGUAAAUAUAUAUUAAUUAUAUUAAAUAACGGAAUAUUUCAUAAAUUCAGGGCAUUUUAGGCAGUUUGGGAUGUGUAUUAAGUAUAAUACUGAAAUGAAAAACUUGAUAGGUGGUGUAUUAAGUAAGAGGUGUGUAUUACGAUAUUAGGGGUGUGUAUUUAAAAUUUUUCGGCAACUUAUUACUAUACAUUCAAUACACAAACAAAUGAGUUCUUAAUAGGAUAGGAGAGAUAGCUCACCCUCGAGACCCAACUCAAUCAACUUGAGAUAACCCCCAGGCUGCAACAGCUCACCAACAAUUCUGUCUGGCUCGGUCAAGUCUCUUUCGAUUACAUGUACACGACGACCUUCCUGUAAUAAGAAACACACAUGCUCAAUUCAAAGGCCAAAAUUAAGAUAGAGCUAAUUGCUCAGUUACUACUCACUACUGCAAAUUAAGCCUUCUCAAAUAAUACUUAACAAAAGCUAAAAUAGUCUGCUUCUGUCUUGCUACUAAUUCUCAAGUAUGGAAUUACAGGUACAUUUUGCACUUCCCUAGAAUAACUACUCAAAUUGUUACCUAGCAGGCACAAAUCAAAAGAUGAAAAAACAUGCAACUUAAUUUCCCCCAUUUCAUAUAUUGAAAGAAGCCUCAUCUGUACCCAAAAAAACAAGCCUCAUCUAUAGAGAAUCAAGUACAAACUGACCUUGGCAAGAGUGUAGGCAAGAGCUGCACCGGCAACUCCAGCGCCGACAAUAACAACAUCGGUACUUUUCUCCUCCUCCAUUUCCGGCUGAAACGCACCGUUUCCAAACCCAUCAUUACUCUCAACUCCUCUACUUGGAGCCUUGCAUGGUUUCUUUCCUCCCAAAGUAGUGCUGAUGAUCAUGAAGAAAACAGAUCCCAGCAAUGAAACCAAGACCCCGCCAAAAACAUACUCAUAAGAAACCAUCUUUAAGACAAUUGACAAGGAAUGAAGAAUGAGAGACUGCAGUUUCCUCUGUCUUGCUUUAUGAUUUUCGUUUUCAGGUAUUGGAAUGUGAAGGACUUGUGGUUAUGGAGAGGUUGUGAACUUGAAUGGCUUUAUAUAGAUAGAGAAGCCUAAGCUAUUCAAAGAUUUUCUGACUCGACCAAACUUCCACGAUGCUGUCGAUCACUCCCAAGUCCAAGCCAUGCAAGUAGUCAGUCUUUGUUGCUCUUUGAGAUUAAACUAUGAAUGAUUUUGGUAGUAAUCUUAUAAUAUGAUUAUUUGACUACGUGCGUAUAAGUGUUUGUAUGAAAGCUCAACAAGAAGAAGACGAAGAUUUUAUAAAUAAAAUGUAGCUGCUUGCUUGGAAAUGGAAGGCAGACGUAUGCGCCAAAGGUUUCUUUGACUAGAAUUGGUCUCAGUUGGAGAGCUAGCUGAACUAGUAGUGAGCACUACUGACAGUGCAACUCCUUGACUAAAUGUCUAAAUCGCAUGUGUUUUAUUUUGAACAUAUUCAUCAACUCGGUUCGAAGGGAAAUAUAAAAGAACUAUCAAAUUUGAACUCAAAGGCGGUAGGUUUGAUGAAACUUUUGAAUACAAUUGUGGAAUACAAUAGGAGACAGUUACAAGGAGUCUAUAAUAAACAUAUUCUUCAUCCAUCAACUAACAAAUAGUUCUCUAAUUGCUAUUUUGUUUGUUUCAUACAACCAAAAGAUAACUCGACAAGCUAUUGCAAAACAUAAUUACCAAAAACACUAUUUUGUUUUAAAGAAAAUUACAUAGCAACACGUACAUGAUCAAAUUUAAAAACACAAAAAACCCACUCUUACUAAUUUUUAUAUAAUUUAGGACAUAAACUCAAGCCCAAAACUAAUAGAAUCAGGCAUAAUCCGAAUUUUUCCUUAAUCUCUCACUUCUUUGUCUUUUCAGAUCUUGCUUUGUCUUUUUCAGAUCUGCUACUCUCUCUCUCUCUCNCUCUCUCUCUCUCUCUCUCUACUACUACUACUACANNNNNNNNNNNNNNNNNNNNUCUCUCUCUCUCUCUCUCUCUCUCUCUCUCUCUCUCUCAUACCAAUGCAAGAACAAGAGGCACUGCUUUGACGACGACGGAUGACAAUGAUUGGCGCUGACGACCACCGAGGCUCGACAACGCUUGGAUCACACAGUCGUCGUCCUCCCACGCCAUGAUCCAACCGCCUCUGUCCUCCGAUGCCGGGCCUCCAUCACCUACGACGACGACGACGACUCCCGAAUCCCACAUGUAACUUCUAUAGAUUCUUGAGGAUUGAAUGGUUUUGUGGACUUUGUGAUUGGGGAAAUUUGAGAAGCUUAUUAGGGUUGUUGAAUUCAGGUAGGAAUUUUGGGGCUUUUGGUCGUAGCGAGGGGGAGUAUAAGUGGGGGAAGAGGUCGUCGGGUAUGCAUAUGGUGACAAGAUUUUGGGGGAAGAGGCCGCUGGGUAUGCACCUUUUCUGUCACAGUAGCACAUUUCCACUCAGUAGCAUCUCUCUACUCGGCGUAGCACCGGCAGUAGCACCUUUAAAAUCAAUCAAGAGUAUCACUAGCAGUAGCACCUUUAUACUCAAGAGUAUCACUGGCAGUAGCACCUUUAUGCUCGAGGGUAUGACCGGCAGUAGCACCUUUCUACUUGACAAUAGCAGCAAUCAAGUUGAAGAAGAGAGAAGAAAAGACUGAUGUAGGUCUAAUCAGACUCUCCGACGACAACAGAGAAAACAAGAGUUUGGGAAUUUUAAUUUGGAGAAUUUCUGAUUUUAUUGUUUGUCUCUUCUAUGGAUGGGAAGAAGGGUAUUUUGGUAAUAUAUUAUGACAGAUAACAUAUGGAGAAUAGUUUAUCCUAAUUUGUUAAUUUUUGUUCUUAAAUGUGUAAGAUAAUAUGUGAAUGAUGCAUUUAUAAACUGAAAUUUGGUUAGUAACUAAUAAGUAAUUUACUAUUUUUGUAACUAUGUUACUGCUUGACAAUAGAUACAAUGACAUUAAGAUUCACCCCUCCUCUAUGAGGUAGCGACUAUUUCACAAAGUAAGGAAUUUGAUUGCCGCCAACCUAGCAAGACAAAACCAAGACAGUCCUAUUUAGUCUCAUGAAACAAACAUGCACUUACUACUUUCGCUCAAUCCUACACACAAGGAUAUCAAACGUUACGCUAUUAUUAUAAUAGUGAAACUUAAGUACAACAAUAACUAUUGUAAGGUAAAAGAUACAUGAUUCUCUAUGAACGCUUCUUGGGCUUUUGCAUCACCAAGAUAGAUCUCAAGGCAUGCAAGUGCAAAUGAUAUGAGUCUGAAAAGUUUUGUUUUCUGCUCUAAAAUUUACAAUCACAAAGAUGACGUAAAAUGCAAAAUGUGUAAGAUAAUGCAAGAUUCAGUUUGUAGAAAAUGCAAAUGACAAUUUUCACAACCAAUGAGCGGAGACAAACUUGCUCAAUAAGUCAAUAUAUAUACGCUAAGUGAAAGCUAUUAGAGAGUUGAACAUCAACCAAAGGCCUACGUUAAAAGUGUAGCGUAGCCGAACGACUGAACGAGGACGAGAGACAACGGCAAACUGUUUUCCAACCCUAGUGUGUGGAGCGUGUACUAAAAGUCAAUGAUUGAAAUCUCUUUUUUGAUUGGGUCAGAAGUGAGAGUUAGUAACUAACCCACCCAGUCAGUAUUCGUACCGAGGUCCAUAACUCCACGAGAGUAUUACAGUAAGGUAAAGCCAGACUAAACUCUCGCCGUUGGCGCACGAACUCGAAAACCCUUCAAACAUAUUGAUCAUAAACUAGUAGGAGUUGAGACUUAAACUAAUCUCUGGCCGCUAGCGAAGAACUCAAAAUUCCUUCAAACAUGUUGGCCAAAAACUAGUGUGAGUUGAGAGUUGAGACUCGAACUCUAGACAUGUAUGAUGACUAUGAUCCAUACUAGAUAACUCGACCAACUUACCACACCAGGUUUGUAACAAUACACAAUGAUAUCAUUUUUGUUAUGAAAUAGAUUUUCAUAAAUGUAAAGAAAGCGGCUUAAAUAAAACAAAAAUAUUAUAUCUAAAUUUGAUUACUAAAUUGAUCAUUAUCUUAACAGACUAUCUACUAGCUAAGAGGCAAAGAGAUGUUGGCAGGAAACCAGUUCUCUAGCUAGACUUGAGUCGCAUGACCUCAACUUUAAUAACAAGUGCGCUAACCUUGUUUUUGUGCAUAGAGAACCAAAUAUGUACUGUCAAAACUCUAUAUACUGUGAUAUUAAAAAGAUGUCACAAUUUUUCUUUACGGUCUCUGACCACAUCUUCUUUUGUCACUCCCGGAAGCUAAUUUUGUUAGUAAACACUUCCCUCUUGAUUCUCUUUCGUUUGUAAUUUCCCUAUUCGAUUAAAUCCCAACUACCAAAGUUCAAAUCAUUCUCAAUCUAUCAAUUGAAAAAACGUUUCUUGGUUUUCUUGAUGGUGAAACCUCCAUGAAAGUCCUUGCUAGUCUUUUUCUCGUUGAUUGCCAAAUCGUCCCCUUGAGGAUGUGACCCUAUUCUUGUCUCUUCCACUAGACUCGUACACACCGUAAUACACAAGUACACCAAUGUUAACAGAGACUGACCAAAAAAACCACCCACCUUCUUACAGCUAUAAAGUCAUAAACCCAUAACCACAACUCCGCAAGUCCACUUCAGAAAGUCAGAAACUAAAACACAGAGCUAUACACAACUAAGUCCCCAGUCAAAAAGAUGGUGUCUUAUGAGCAUAUUCUUGGUGGGUUCUUAGCUUCUUUGCUGGGCUCUGUUUUCUUCAUGAUCAUUAGUACUACUCUUGGUGGAAACAAAAAGGUCAAGUCUUUAAGUGGAGGAGUUAAGAGUAAUGAUGGGUUUGGAAACGGUGAGUUUCAGCCGGAAAUGGAGGAGGAGAGAAGUACCGACGUCGUCAUUGUCGGUGCCGGAGUUGCUGGUGCAGCUCUUGCUUACACUCUUGCCAAGGUCAGAUUAUACUUGAUUCUCUAUAGUAGAGGCUUUUCUUUGAUAUGAAUAAAGUUGCAUACUUUUCUGUUGGGUUUGAAUUGGGUAAUCCGGAAUGUACUUGAAGUUUCAUGCUUGACAACCACUAGUAAGACAGAACCCGAGAAUAUUUUAGAAGGUUUCAGGAGUAGAAUAUGUGUGAAUUACAUAUGCAUUGACUAAAGUGGACACAUUCAGAUUGCAUAUGUUGCUGCAGUGGUGAGCUAGUGGCUCCGAUCCAUCUUUAAUUUGGGAUUUUGAGUUGAGCAUAUGAUUGUUUCUUGUUACAGGAAGGUCGUCGUGUGCAUGUCAUCGAAAGAGACUUGACCGAGCCAGACAGAAUUGUUGGUGAGCUGUUGCAGCCUGGAGGUUAUCUCAAGUCGAUUGAGUUGGGUCUUGAGGGUACGCAAACUCACCUAUCCUAUUAAGAACUCCUUUGUUUCUUUAUUGAAUGUGUAGUACUAAGUUGGCAGGCAUUCGGUUUUAAUCAAUAACUAUUUGUGGCUGCAUGCAGAUUGUGCAAAUGAGUCAAUUGAUGCGCAGAAGGUGUUUGGUUAUGCUGUUUACAAAGAUGGCAAGGAUACAAAACUGACUUAUCCCUUGGAACAAUAUAGUUCAGAUGUGGCUGGGAGAAGUUUCCACAAUGGGCGUUUCAUCCAAAGAAUGCGCGAAAAAGCAACGACUCUAUCAAAGUAAUCAUCAUUUCCCUUUAACUAUAUAUAUUACAAAAUUUUUAUUUUAUGGAUUCUUGUGUGUUUAAUCUGGUAAAAUUAGUUUCAAGUUUCAAUCGCUUACUCAUGUCCCAUGGUAUUUUCAUUGCAGUGUCAAAUUGGAACAAGGAUCAGUGACAACACUAAUUNNNNNNNNNNNNNNNNNNNNUUACAAGAACAAGGCUGGAGAGGAGAUGAGAACAUAUGCUCCACUGACAAUCUUGUGUGAUGGCUGCUUUUCAAAUCUGCGCAAGUCUCUCAGUGCACCAAAGGUAACUAUAGACUACCAACCUUUGGAAACUCAACAACUUUGAACUCAAAUUUAUCACAAGAGUGCUUGUUCUUCCGUGAGACCAAUAUGGUUAUUUGUUACUGUUGCAGGUUGAAAGUCCCUCAUGUUUUGUUGGUUUGAUCUUGGAGAACUGUGACCUUCCACACGCAAAUCAUGGACAUGUUAUUUUGGGAGACCCUUCACCCACCCAUCCUGUUUUAUCCUAUCAGUAGCACCAAGGUUUGUUUUGGUGGAUGUACCUGGAACAAAAGUGCCUUCAGUAGCUAGUGGUGAAAUGGCUAAAUAUCUGAAAACGUUUGUGGCUCCUCAGGUAUGUUUCAAUAACUAUCCUGAAUUGAUUAAAUUUGAUACACAUACCCACCUGAAUUGAACUAAUCUGAGGUCUACUUGUAUUUCAGAUUCCCCCACAGCUGCACAAUGCUUUUAUGGCCGCAGUAGAGAAGGGAAACAUCAGGACAAUUCAAAACAGAAGCAUGGCUGCUAAUCCUGUCCCUACUCCUGGUGCGAUUUUAUUAGGUGAUGCAUUCAACAUGAGGCAUCCUUUAACAGGAGGAGGAAUGACUGUUGCUCUUUCCGACAUCGUUCUUCUCCGUGAUCUUCUUAGACCCCUACGUGAUCUCAAUGAUGCACCUGCUUUGUGCAAUUACCUUGAAUCAUUCUCCACACUGCACAAGGUAAAUCAUCCAUUUGAAUAACUCAUAACUAAAAUGUCUUUUUUAUGCCACUAUCUGUUACAGUGUGACAUUCCUUUUGGCUCCCUGCUGAUAGUGUACUUUUGUUUUAUAUUGCAGUGUGUGUCAUCCACUAUAAACACAUUGGCAGGUGCUUUGUACAAGGUGUUUUGUGCAUCGCCGGAUCCGGCAAGACAGGAAACGCGUGAAGCAUGUUUUGGCUAUUUGAGCUUUGGAGGCAUAUGUUCAUAUGGACCAGUAUCUCUGCUAUCUGGUCCUAACCCUCGUCCACUGCACUUGUUUCUCCAUUUCUUUGCUGUUGCCAUCUAUGGUGUCGGUCGCUUAAUGCUUCUGUUCCCUUCACCAAAACGCAUGUGGCUUGGGUUUCAAUUGAUGUUGGUAUGGCAAUGAAUGUAUUUCCACUACUUUCUUAUCAACAUGUUUUUCUAUUACACUUUCUACACAUGACUGGCUGCUUAAACAGAUCUUUCUUGGUUUUCUAUUUUUCAGAGUGCAUCAGGCAUCAUAUUCCCCAUUAUAAAGGGUGAAGGCGUUAGACAGAUGUUCUUUCCUGCCACAGUGCCAGCGUAUUACAGAUCUCCUCCUGUCCAUUGAAGGAAUGGCAAGAAUUGUAUUUGACUACUUGGAGAAGAAAAUUGUUACCUGAUUUUUUUUUUUUUUUUUUAAUUUUCUUAUUGAUAUGAUAAUCCAACGAGUGUCAAACCAGCAGCAUUUGUUCCACCCUGAAAGUAAAGAUCAAGAUGGGGGUCAAUGCUAUACUAGGAAGAGAAAAAAUUUCUUUUAUAGAACCUAGGAACCACUUAAUAUUGUACAAAGCUAGAUCAAUGGUAAAUUAUCCACAUGAUUUUUCGGUCAUUGGCUUAUCUAUUUUCAAGUGCACAUCAGUAACUAUUUUGACAUUUUAUAAUGGUAGUCAUUUUUCACACUUCCAGAAUGUAAUCUAAUCUUGUUAAAGCAGAGGGGGUUGAUUGAUGACUCUUCUGAAAGUGAGAUUGGAGAGGUAGUCAUUUUUCAUUUAGAAUGACUCUUCUAAAAGUAAACUAACUAUCUCACUGGUACAUAUUCAUCUUCCUUCAGUUUCAGAUGUCAUUCUAAAAUCACUUCUAGACUUGAUACAGAUUUGCAGAUGCUUCUGGGACAAGGAUGUUUACAGCCCUAGAAGCUUGACCAGCCAUUUGGUUUGGUAAUGCUGUAUUGGGGUGAAAAGCCUCUCUCACUAACAAUAUGGGUUGAUCAGAUUAGUUCGAGUGGUUCUUCAUCUAUGCCUUGUCAAAGUAUAUAUGCUGGGAUGUUCUUCAUCAGAAAGUUCGAUAAAUUUUUGUGAAUGGUGAUUCCAUUUCUUUUUGGUUGUUUGAGUGAGCCUGUCCAUUUCCCUAAUUCUCUUAGUUAUGAACUUCUGAUAGAUCUCUUAAUGGAGUUACUGAUUGGAAUUCGAAGUCUCAUUUUAUUCAUGACCAGCUAGAAAAGGAAUAAAAUUACUGUUACAUAUACUGGUUGAAGUUGUUAACAACACUGGGUGCUAUUCCUCUUCCUCUUGGGAAUACUAAUGAUGAAUUAAUACGAAAGGGGAACUUGAAAUUCUUAUAACAGCAAUGUAUUAUGAAAUCACUGCAACACAGGUUAAUUCAACUACCUUAAGCAUAAACUGAUGGGGUUGUGAUUCCAGUACAGAAAUUCCAGAGCUUGACUCCAGUUUUUGGGACUUAUGAUCAGCUGCCUUGCUGGAACCGAAACAAUUAUACCUCCCUUUAGCAAACAGCUCUUCACAUUUGUUAUUGUCUCUCACCCUAGUAAUGCUGAAAUGAGUUAACGAGUCUCAAUAUAUAUAUAUAUAUAGAACUUUUCUCAGGUGCGGAUGUCCGCACCGUUUUACAGUGCGGAUUUUCAUCCGUUCGCCACCGUACGGCGCCGGCGAGGGCGCGCCUCCACCCCAGCCGUCUCCAGCUGCUUCCCCGACCACUUUCCAUCCCCAGUGAGUCCCCCGAAUUCCAGUUUUCCGGCCAGAUUGACUUUGUUUGAAGUUUUGGGUGAUCUGGCCGGAAAACUGGAAUUCGGCGGCGGGGAUGGAAAGUGGUCGGGGAAGCUGCUGGAGUCCGCUGGGGUGGAGGCGUGCCCUCACGCGGCGCCUUACGGUGGCGAAUGGACGAAAAUCCGCACCGUUUUCCAUAGCAGAGACGGACUGUAUAUAUAUAUAUAUAGGGAAAUUUUCAUAUACACCCAAUUUUAAAGAGUGGUUUUAAAUAAAACCCACCUAAUAUUCAUAUCUGAUAGACAUCUAAAAUGUAUCAAUUAUGAUAAAUAUUAUGUCAUAUUUUUUCUAAAUUUUACACAAUUGCCAUCAUUCAACUAUAACAUAUUAAUAUAAUAAAUAAGCUUAAUUGAUGUUGUCUUAUUUACCUUAAUUAUGAGUUUUUCUUCUGACACUAACAUUUUUCAAUCAAUUUACAAGAAUCAUGUAGUUUUCUUUAUUUUUAUAAAAAAAUCUAGAUUAAAGGAAUUCAUUCUCUAAUCUAUACAUAUGGUAAAAUAAAAUAUGAAUAAGAUAUCUGAUCUAAACCCUAAACCCUAUACCCUGAACCUAUACCCUAACUCUAUACCCUAAACCCUAUACCUUAACCCUAUACCCUAAACCUAAUUUUGGGUUUCUUCUUUUUAG